CGCACGGAGGGACGGAGUAGGGGAUCUGCCUCCGAGACCCCUGUUUGGCAGCCAGCCGGCGGAGGGCUGAGGAGCUGCGCAGAGGGGCGAAGGAGGGGCUCCGCUGGCCUCCUCUCUUUGUCCCUCUCUUUCCCUUCUCUCUCUCUCUUUGCCUCUCCCCCAUCCCUCUACUGUGUUAGUACAAGCCCGACACUGAACGAUAUGAGAGUGUACCGAUCCGUACCGUCGGAUAACCGGUCUAAGCCCCGGUUCUAGCACAACAAUCCUUCAUAUCAACAUUCACAAACUCAUCAAUUAGUCUCAUUCAAAUCUAUAGAGUACAAUCCGUAUGAUAGCAUUAAUGUUCUAUUGAAAAAUAAAGAAAAAUCAAAAUCAUCCAUCAUGAAAAGCUUAACAUUCAUCAAAAAAUAAUCCAUCUCCUUGUUCCCUAAAGAAUUUGAGAACUACCUAGAUAUUCAUUUUAAUUUUAAAAUGAAGUUACCUAAAUAAGCAUAAAGAUGCAUCUUAAUUGUAUUCAAUAAGUAUCGAUAUAGGAUGGCCCAGUGCACGAGGCUCCCACUAUUGUGGGGUUUGGGGAAGGUCAGCUGUAUACAACCUUAUCCCUGCAUGCAAAGAGGAUGUUUCAAUAUUUCGAAUCCGUGACCUUUAGGUUGCAAAUAGCAACCUUGCCGUUGUGCCAAGACUCUCCCUCAUCUGAUGAGUAUCGAUAUCCGAAAUACAUUAGCAAGCGAUUCCAGGUACCUAUUGGUCAUACUUUUGGUCAGCACAUCCUAAAAGAAUCUUAUAAUCUGCUUGAUAUGAAACUAUUGAACCACACCCAAGUGACCAAAUAAGGUUCUCAAACAAAUAUAAGCAAUGUUAGCCCUAUUUAUGAGAUCUCGCUGUUUACCGUCCAUAAUUAUAGGCUUUCACAUGUCUCUCAGACAAAUUCUUUUAAAAAUUCUAUUCCAUGCUUGAAGUUUCUAUCACAUAGUUUCUAAACACCUUAGGCAACUUAAUAGCUUUGGGUUGCUUCAAAGUUUGUGGCCUCAAGAGAAAAACUUAUUUCCUGCUUCUCCAUACUAAGGGCAUUGUGGGACUUCUUUUUAAAUAGUGCUUUUAUUUAUUUAAAAGACUUUGACAUUUUUCAAUCACAUCACUUUCUAUAUAAGAUUCUUUUGACAUGUUCUCCUUCAUGAAUCAUUUCUUCUCCUUCUUAACAUUGUUAUUGAACUUUUAUAAUUAAAAUAAUGAGUAAUGUUCUGCAUUGAUAUUUAUUUGAUAUACAUCAUUGAAUUUAAUACAGCUUCCGUAUUUGAUUCAUCAUUAACCUCUUUAGGUAAGGCAAAAUGGAACUAUUAAGGCUAUCGCUUCUUAGCUCUUUAUGUUAUCAUAUAAAUAUCUUUUUGUGCAGUUUAUUAUUUUUUUACUGUAUAGAGAUGAAAUCUGAUGUUCAAACUUGAAUAAAAAUUUAUGCAUAACACUGAAAUAUUAAUUGGUUUCGUAGUAUAAAUUGUGAAAAACAACAUGUUUGCUGGAAGCAGCUAAUGAUUUAUAAUUUCUUUUAGUACAAUCUUCUUAAUUUCUUUUCAUACAAUCUUUUUGAGAUUUAUGAAAGCAUACUUUUCUUAGAACAUUGUUUUUCAUAGUCUUAAGUCUGUGGUCAGGAGGAGUUUGCCAAUAAACUUUGCUUCUGUAUAUUUCUGAAUGAAAUUUAUUACGCCUUGGCAGACCUGGUUUUUAAGAAGAGUAACUGGUAAAUUUCCAAAUUAUAUUUGUCUUGGAGGGAAAAAACCAUGUUUCCACCCCUAUGUGCUGGGCAUUUUAUAGGCGUUGAUUUAAAUUUAGGAGACAAACUUCCCUUUUAGCUUCACAUAGAAAUUUUGGUGCUGGUUUUAGUUUUUAAUGAUUGUAUCUCUCCCUUGUCAGACAACUAUCACAAAUCAGCAGAAUGGAACGAACUGAGACACCUUGCAUAGUUCAAGCUCUACCAGCCUCCAAUAAGAAGGACAAGGAAUCACUUACAAAGCCAGUCACUGUUGAAGAUAAAGAAUCACCAUUAAAGCUAGAAAGCACCACUAACAGUCCUCAGACACCAUCAAGUUCUCGCUUUACUCGCUCCCAGGCUGCUCCGGACUGGACCACACAUGAAAUGCUGGUUCUUGUUAGCGAGAUUGCUGCUGUGGAUGAGGACUGGGUUAAAGCUCUCUCUUCAUAUCAAAAAUGGAAGAUGAUAUCUGACAACUGCGUGGCUUUUGAUGUCAUCAGGUCUUCUAACCAGUGCAAGAGGAAAUGGGAGUCGCUGCUUGCUGAUUAUUGGAGGAUCAGGGACUGGGAGUCCAGAUGCGGAGUGGGUUCCUAUUGGUGCUUAGAGGGUGAGAAGAGAAAACAAUUUGGGCUUCCAGCUUUGUUUGACGAAGAGGUAUUUGAUUCAAUGGAUGCUGUUAUUAAAGCACAGGAGACUCAAUCAAGCUCAAGGGAUAGUGAUUCAGAAGGCCUUGUUGGUACAGCUGAUGUUCAAAUGGCUGAUGGUGAUGACGAUUUAGGUAUGUUAAUUACCUUUUUCUCAGUUAUGCCUUACACCAUACGAACAGAUGCCAUUUACUUAUUCAUGGUGAUCAUGUAUAAGGUUUAUCUUUAAGUGGUCCUGAAGAUACACCACCGCAUUACUUUCCAAACUUAUCACUGAGGAAAUAUGGAAGAUGGAGGUGAUACAUGUAGUUCUUGAUAUAAUCAUGAGUUCAGAGGACUUAAUUGGUAUUGAGGCUCAUAAUUUCUGAAAUCCCAUUUCAUAGACUCUUCAGCAUUUUUCCAGAAAAUAUUUCCUAAAAUUAUAUAACUCAGACAGCAUUCUAGCUGAAGAGAUGCUAGUUGUGCAAGCCUAAUGUGAAAGCAUAAUGAUUUUAAAAGGCAUUUUUGAAGCUAUUCUUCAAAAUUUUUGACAAGAUUCUGACCUUUCUUCAUGUUAAUGCACGGACUUAUUAUUAAAUAAAAGCAUGAAUUAAAAUUUGUAACUCAUUGCCGUGUCAUGCUUCUAUUUGUUAGUUAUCUGUUUUAGGCAAUUGUACACUUCAAGUUAUUUCCAUGUAAUCUUCUGUACCCCCAUAAACAUUUCACAUAUUCAAUACCAAAUUUCUUUUUCUGUAGUUGAUAUCUGCUUUUGUUUCUCUUCUAUGGUUGUACAUCUAGGCUUUAUCUGGAGGACUUUAACCUGCAAAAUCCUGAUUCUUUCCUUUUUAUUUUUUGAACAAUUUAUAAAUUAAUAAUCAUAGACUCGAGGAGUAGGAAUUCUUUUGUAUAAAAUGAAGUAUAAUAAAUAAUAAGAAAAAAUGUUGAGAACAGGAUAACUUAAAAAACUCUGCUCAAUAUAGAAAAUGUUGAAUAUAUUGUUUAAGAUAUUUUCAUAAUUUGUAAACCAAUCUCAGAAACAUUUCUUGAAGAUCAUAACUUCCUUCUUAGCAAAAAAAAAAAAAAAUCAUAACUUCCUUUUCAGGAUUAUAAAAGCAUAAUGUUGUGGUAAGCCCAAAUGAAGAUAUCUUGGAUGACAUGGUAAACAGGUCUUCUAGCUGUUUGAGGGAAAUUAUAUUUCUUCUUUCGAGAAAACUACAAAGAACCUCCCAUGAUUUAUUUAAAUAUUUUUUUUCUUUUCACUUGAAGUAAUAGUUCUGUUUCCAGCUUGCCCACCACUACCAAAGAUGGAAAAUGACGUACGGACAUAAAUUUUUAAGAAAGUUUUAUGUUACUUCAACCCUAAAUUUCUUUUUUAAACUAUUGUAAAAUUAUACAUUUGAAGAUUGCAUUACAUAAUUAGCACAACCAUAAUUAAUACAACCAAGUACCUAUGUGAAGAUGCUUGAGUUAUGUAAAAGCAAAUUCCCACAGCAGUGGAUGUUUUUUCCUCAAGUUUUAUAUAUUUGAAUCCCGGCCUGAUCAGUUUUGGUUGUUAUUCUCAAUGUACAUGUCCAUGUCUGUUUUUCAAAAUUUAGGUUCUGGGGAGAAAGAACCUAACGAGACUUUGACAAACACAGAUAAAGGACGAGAUAUGGCCAUGAAGCUGCAGGAGGAUGCUCAACAUAUACAUGCCAUACUGAAAGGAGAGCUAGAGGAUAGUUCUAGUCAGGUUCGUGCUCCUGUGGAUUUGACAAAACCUAAUGCUAUAGAGACCGAGUUCACCAGGCGACAAGCCAAUGAGCUCAUCAAGGCUUUUGGGAGCCUUGUAAGCACUCUUAAUCAGUUUACUGAGCUGAUCAAGGAUGGUGAAUGUGAAGGAAUUAAACCCGUAACUUCAACGGCACAGUGAUCCAGUUCUUUUCAUGAAGUUUUGGCUGUUUGAGCUCCUAUCUUCAUGAAGGCCGUCUAACAAAAUGCAUAGGUGCAAUGGAUCGAUCACUAUCGCACUGGCUUCAGAUCUCUGUCUGGAGCACUAAAGUGGGGAUGGUGAAACUUAUCAUAAGAGAAACUAAGGUAGACAUACUAUGCUUUUUCCACUAGAAAGAAGAUCUGACUCUUGAGAACCUUCAUAUUUCCUGCUACCUUCAUCUGGUUGCUAUAGCGCUAUCAUCAAUGUCAAAAAAUGCAAAGUAUUUGUGUGAGGGCGGUAACUGAAAGCAAUAGCAGGAGCUGUCUGCAAUGAGGAGGCUAGUUAUCAGGAGGCCUGGCAAUGGCCUAGGUGAGGGAGCUGCUGUAACCUCUUGUCAUCUUGGUUACUUUCUUUAUUAAGACCUACCCUCGACUGCCAUAGGGCACUGUUAAAGUAAUUAGAAUCCUCUCUUGUGCUGCUUUACCUUCUAUUAAUAGAUUUUUUAAAUCUUAAUGCAAGCUUUGCCGCACUGAAAAGAACUUUCAUGAACAGAUGAACUUGUAAAGCUUUCAGACUUUUUCUUGUCUUCUCUAGAAAGCAAGGGCGAGAAGCCAUUGAUUUCUUCACGGGUGUGAUUCUUCAUAGUUAAUAUCAGAAAACUUUUUGGUUUCAUGAUGAGGUAAAAGUGGAUCUUUAUCAUUUAUACAAGCAAAUAUCAGAAAAAUAUUGAAUUAAUGCAAUCACAUUUGCUGGGAGUAUGAAAUUAUGAAACUGUACAUGAAUUUCAGCUCGUGUGGGGACAGGUCUAUGAAAUUUCUUAUAGUCUUUCCCAGCUGUCACCAAGCAGCUGAACUGUUAUUUUAGUGAUAGCUGUUGUGUGAAUUCAGUGGUUAGCCUGUCUACAUCAAAGUUGGUGAAUUCCCCGCUCUUUGUCAAGCUGGUGUAAGCUAUGAUCUUUCUUUUCUUUUUUUCCUUUUUUUUGAGGAAGGUGUAAGCUAUGAUCUGGCUUAUUGAAAUGGUUUUAGUCGUGCCUAAACUGUCUUGCCUGCCGAGAGACGUAGGCAAGAAGAGCUUCACCAGUUGUGCAACCGAAUGCAUCCUUUUUAAUUGGGUCCAAGAUUAUAGAGAAGAGCCUCAUUUUUGUGCCCUGCUUCAGAGUGCGAAAUUUUAAUCCAUCUUGAUAGUGUCUUUUUUAGAUACGGGGAAAAAAAAAAGGGUCUUUGUGAAGUGGUGAAGAAUUGCAUGUUGAAAUAACAGAAGAAAGAUUUACAUUCAUGAGUGUUUCAGCCCGUAAUUAUUGUCAGGUUUAACACAGAUUUUUAAACCAUGCGUUGGUGAAUCCUGGUGAUUUUAACUGUUAGAGCAAUAUUCUGAGAUUGGAUUGGAUAUACCCAAGAGAAAUUUUAUGCCUCUCCUUUUGGCUGCCACUCUAAUCAUCAGACAGCUUUUAGUUAAAUAAUUAAUAUUAAAAUCAUGUCUAAAUAUACAUAAAAUAAUAAUAUGACAACAAUAAUACCAACAAAACAUCCCUGUCCUCAAUAAGGCAUGGAUCUAAACAAAAUCUCCACUCAUCGUCGCCACGCUCAGUGAAAUGACGACAGCAAGAAAUCAAGCACGCAGCACAGAGUGUCACCCAUAUGUUUAGACUAAAAUUAAAACUAGAAAUUGGUGGCUUUGGGUGGGGCAAAGUUUGGGUGCAUAAACUGAAGCUAAGAAAUUGGAGGGCCGGCCUUGGAUCUCUCUCGGGACAGCUAAAAAUCCCAUGGACGCAGGAGACCCCGUCAAAUCUCUCAACCCCAUUCUCUCUUAUUCGGUCGCCUUUCUCACCAACCUAUUCUUGGGCCCCCACGCCGACUCCACCAUCCCUCCCCAAAGCCAUGUAUUCAAAACUAAUCUGCCUUCUCCUCAUCCCCACCACCCAUAACACCAAUAGCCUCGCCACCCCUGACCCCUCCUCGACGCGCUAGCCCCACCGCCACCGCGCCAUGGCCGGACGGGCCUCGCCAUGGCCUCUACGGCUCCUCAUGGUCCUCCUCACCCUGGCGGCAUCCCUCCGCCUCUCCCAUUCCAAGGACGUCGACGUCCUCCUCAAGUUCAAGGAGAGGCUGGCCCCCAAUGGCGGCGACGCCGUGCUGCGUAACUGGGUCGCCGGCUCGACACCAUGCGAGGGGAAUGUCUCGCUGUGGACCGGCGUCAUCUGCGACUCCGGGGAUGUCUAUGGGCUGCAGCUCGAGCACAUGAAGCUGGCGGGCAAGCUGUCGAUCGACGUCCUCGUGGACCUGCCGGUCCUCCGCACCCUGAGCUUCAUGGGCAACGAAUUCGAGGGGCCGAUGCCGGACAUCGCGAAGCUGCCUGCGCUGAAGGCGAUAUACCUGUCCAACAAUAGGCUCUCCGGUGGGAUAGCCGACGGCCUGUUUAAGAAGUUCCGGUCGAUGAAGAAGGUGCACCUGUCGCACAACCAGUUCACCGGAAGGAUCCCGACGUCGCUCGUCGGGCUGACGAGGCUGCUGGAGCUGAGGCUGGACGAUAAUAACUUCGAGGGGCCGAUACCGGAUCUGCGGCAGCCGGGGCUGUACCUGAUGAACAUCUCCCAUAACAAUCUGGAGGGACCAAUUCCAGCUGGGCUCAGCAAGAUGCAAGCUAGCAUGUUUGAAGGUCAGUAUUCUUUCAAUUCUUGUCGUUCUUAAUUUCUUCAGUAUAUGUGUGUGUGUCUCUCUCUCUGUGUAUAUAUAUAGAUGUGCAUGCAUGCAUGCAUGCAUGGGGAGAUUUAACAUAGAAUUUAUCUCAAAGGAGGAAAUGGUGAUGCAAAUUAGCAAUAAACACUUUCACGGAGAUUUUGAUUAGAAUGAAGCAAGCAAUAUUGAAGGGAGGGCCCAGCAUUGUUCCAAAGUUAUUGCCUUAUUGGAAAUUAGAUGGCUAUGGCUCCAAACAAGACUGCCUAAGACAAUGAGACAUGAGAGGUGGAGAAGGCUUGCGUAUUAGCACUUUGCAGCACAAAAUUGAAAGGAAGUUAGAGAGCUAUUGGCUUGGUAAAUUUAUUGUGCAUUGGAGUUUAUUAGAUUUGACUUGCCUUGUCCAAUAAGCUGUUUGCAGGAUAAGGCGAGUUACAGCCUACUGAUUAAGAAACCGGAACUCAACGUGAAAAUAUUAAAAGGAAAAACAUACUUUCAGCCAGCAUAUAUAAAUUAGUAGUCUAAUUUACAACAAUAUCGGGGGCAUUUACUACCGAAUACCGGAAUAUGUUUGAUGAAGAAAUUAUUUGAUGCCAAAACUACAGGUUUUGAUCAAAUAGUUUCCAAUUGCUUGUGGAUUAUAAUGAAAUUAAGGUAGAGAAGAAAGGUUCUUAAUUUUGAUCAAGAUUGUUCUGCAAGGAAUCAACUCAAAAACUUACACGUUCCUUGAAAGUCUAACCGCUGCUCGGCAGUAACCAGAAACAAAUGCUUGAAGAGCGAUGAAGAAGAUUGCAUGCUAGUCAAACUGUUUUUUGUUAAUCCAUAAAGCUCCCCAAGAAAAAGAUUAAUUAAAAAACAUUACAGAUAUAUUGCUAGUUUUUAACUGCAGAUCCAACUUAUUUACUCACCAAAAGAAACAAAAGAAUGAUAUGUUCAUGGAACAAUAACUAAUAGAGAGUACUUAUCAUGAACUGCGUAAGAUUUUACAUAUAAAUGAAGAGCUUAAAUAACAAUUGGAAAUGAAGUAGAUAUUUAGAAAUAGUAACUAGAGGUUACAGAGGAAAAGAGGAGAACACAAGGCGGAAGCAGUAAAGGCAACGCUAGCACACAUGUGGGAGCUAGGCAUUAGUAUUCCUAAGUGAGGACUCGCUUCAACACAGUUGGUGGAAAAGAAAAAAAAUUUAUACGAUCGCAUCAGAGUGUUGGCUUAGAAUUUGAAUGAACGAUGCAUGAAACACAUCGCUGACUGAAGAAGUUAAAAUGCCAACAAACUGAAAAGCUUCCAAAAGUUCCCUUCUUUUUGGUUUUUAGAUGGCAUCUGACUCGGUAUUAUCUGUGUAGGCAACAAAAAUCUUUGCGGUCCACCACUUGAUAUCUCAUGCGGAUCAUCACAAGCAGAACCAUCAUCAUCAUCGGAGAAGCUCUCCCCUGCUCUUCUAGUUAUCAUCAUAAUGAUAGCCAUCGGGGUACUACUCGCAAUCAUUGGCGUGAUCUUUUUCAUGCUCCGCCGUCCUCGCAAACAGAUGGAACCAGGUCUUAUUCCACACAGCAUAACCAGGAAGAUCGGUCCUUCAGAUGCAGAGAAGCUGGAACAGGGCUCGGUGGAGUCCAGCGGAGGAGCGAAGAAGGUCGCAAAGGAAGAGCAUGGGAAGCUGAUGUUUGUUAAGGAGGGGGCUCAGAGGUUUGAGCUACAGGAUCUGCUCAAGGCUUCAGCUGAGGUGCUGGGCAGUGGGAACUUUGGGUCCUCGUACAAGGCCGUCCUUUUCGAUGGUCCGGCGGUGGUCGUCAAGAGGUUCAACAAGAUGAAUGGGGUAGGGAGGGAAGACUUCCAGGAGCACAUGAGAAGGCUGGGGAGAUUGUCUCACCCCAAUCUGCUGCCUCUGGUGGCCUACUACUAUAGGAAGGAGGAGAAGCUGCUGGUCACUGACUACAUCCCUAAUGGGAGCUUGGCUCACAUGCUCCACGGUAAGCCUCUCAUUCCAGUGUCAGUUUUAGUUUCUAAACUUUUUAAUGGCUCACAAUAACGUUUACAUAUAUACAUGCAUGCAUGCAUACAUACGUACGUACAUGCAUAUGUUACGUACAUAUAAGAGCUCCUUAUUCAUGCUGAGUUCUUUGUUCUUUUUUCUUCCUUUUGUUUUCUUCUUUUGAGAGAAGCACGCACGGUACUUUUUCACGAUACGUACUGAUCUAGAUCAUGUUACCUAUCAGAAGUAUCUGACAUAUAGCAAUGUACGUAUUCUUUAGCGUGUACAUUUGUAUGUUUAGUAUCACAGAUGCAUAUUUGAGUACAGAAAUACGCAAACUUUUAUGAUAAAUGGCCCAAAAGAUGCUAGCUCAUGCUACAGAUCUAAAUUUUAAAUCGCAGAAGAAAUUGACGCUUGCUGAAUUCCAUCGAUCCAAAACCAUGCACUCUCUGAAAUUUUCCGACACAAAGUAUAAUGCUUGCUUGCAUGCGUUCUCGAGCUGAACUUUUCAUGAUUUAUGGAGCAAAAGAUGCUAGAUUGAAUACAAAUAAAAAUUUUUAAGGAUGUAGAUUGAACUAAUGCCACAACCAAGCUAUUAAUUACCCUCCUAACGUGGUAUGUCCCUUCGCAGGUAGAGGCGGCUCGAACCUUCCACCGCUCGAUUGGCCUACACGCCUAAGAAUCGUCAAGGGUGUAGCAAGAGGCCUCGCUUUCCUCUACGAGGAGCUCCCCAUGCUGACUCUACCUCAUGGCCAUCUCAAGUCCUCAAAUGUGCUUCUCAACGACUCCUACGAGCCCCUCCUGACGGACUACGCCCUCGUCCCGGUGAUGAACCAGACGCAUGCCUCGCAGAUCAUGGUGGCCUACAAGUCCCCGGAGUGUGCAGAAGGCGGCAGACCAUCGAGAAAGAGCGAUGUAUGGAGCUUUGGUAUAUUAAUUCUAGAGAUCCUGACGGGGAAGUUUCCAGCCAAUUAUCUCCGGCAGGGGCGAGCGGGCACGGACUUGGCGAGCUGGGUGAACUCCGUCGUGAGAGAAGAGUGGACCGGCGAAGUCUUCGACAAUGAGAUGAGUGGGGCCGAGAAUGGCGAGGGAGAGAUGUUCAAGUUGUUGCAGAUUGGAUUGGGUUGCUGCGAGAUGGAUGCUAAGAAGAGGUGGGAUCUGAGCAUGGUGCUCGAGAAGAUCGAGGAGUUGAGAGAAAAGGAGAAUCGUGAGGAGGGCUCUUCAUUUGCUAGCGAGGGCCAAGCGAAUACCUCGAAAGCUAUGACCGAGGAUGAGCUCUUUUUCUCUACAAAUAACUGAUGAGUAUCUCAGUGACGAAAGCUUUGAGACGAUGUGUGUUCGAGCAUUUACAUUUCAAUUUGAAACACUUUUAAGGUGGAUUAGUGAUGGCAUAGCUUGCUUUCUUCUCUAUAAAUGUUUGAAGUGCGGUAAAGUAGUAGAUUCGUAAUAGUUUGAUGUGUUGUAGGAUUUGAGCUUGAGUUACCCAUUUUCUCCGCGUUUCUCUUUAUGCUUCAAGUUUUCCUCAAUGAAUUCAUAAAAUUGCAGAGCCAAACUUAAAUCAAACUCCACAGAACUGCUUGUGAGCAUAAGUGAAUCUGCUUUCGUGAAUUAUUUAUCUAAAAGUCAUUCUCAUUUCACUAGGGAUUGCUUUAUCUUUUAGUUACCACACCACCAAAGAAAGCCAAUUCUGAUUGGAUUAUAACUCUUGGCUACUAAGAAGUGAUAAUAACGGUUGUUAGUAAAAUAUUGAUUAGAUUUAACAAGGCGGUAGAGUCUGCGCAUUCAAAACUUUAUAUCCUUAAUUUUUUUUUGUGUGUCGAUGCGUGUUAGCCAAAUAUAUAUCAGGAUCAUGCCAACAUACUUUAAUAGAGAGGAUCAAAAUUGCUUAAGUCGAUGACCAUUAGCUUCAAAAGAUCAAAAAUAAUGUUGAGUCAGAUUUUUAAUCAAAAUUUAUAUAUUAGAAUGAAUAUUAAGAUUUAUAAAUUAUUAUUAUUUUGAUAUAAUCUGCAUUAUAAGAUCCGUCCUAUACGGUUACAUUUUGAAUUUAGAGCGUCACAGAUUUGGUAAUGGUGUGUCAAUGCUUUUGAAUUUGGGACGGAUCGGAAGUACCCUUCUCUCACGCAUAAAGUGGAAAUAACCGCCCCGGCCAGAACCAAAUUAAGCCGCCCCUCCCUGCCACUUGAAACAAUAUCAUCACUUCCUUCACCUCGACACCUCCCGGAGGGCGGUUUCCAAGAAUUCAGAAAUCCUGGCUCCGAAUCGAGAACCGCCGAAGGCCUCGGAGCUUCGCCGGAGGCUCCGCCAUCGCGCCGGUAGCGCAGGACUGGUCUUCAAGAACGAGUUCUUCGAUCGCCAAGAACUCGAGCGCGGCGUCCGAAGGCGAUCCUAAAGCAGGAGCGGUUGGCAAUGGCGAUCUAAAGGAUCGGUUUGGCGAGGGCAACGAUCUUGGUGGGGAGAAGAGGGCGCAGGACUCGUCUUCAAGAACGAGUUCUUCGAUCGCCAAGAACUCGAGCGCGGCGUCCAAAGGCGAUCCUAAAGCAGGAGCGGUCGGCAAUGGCGAUCUAAAGGAUCGGUUUGGCGAGGGGAACAAUCUUGGCGAGAAGAAGAAGGCGCAGGACUCUUCUUUAAGAACGAGCUCUUCGAUCGCCAAAAACUCAAGCGCGCGUCCGAAGGCGCUUCUAAAGCAGGAGCGGUCGGCAGUGGCGAUCUAAAGGACCGCUUUGGCGAGGGGAACGAUCUUGGUGAGGAGAAGAAGGCGAGUUCGCUGCCCCUUCUGCUGCGGUGGAGUUCCAGUAGGGUUUGUAGACCGGCCUUCCGCUCCGCUGCGCGCUGUUUUCACUCGGCUCUUGUUUUAUUCCGAUGAUCAAAGUCAAGAUCUUUUCUUUUUCUUCCCUUCUUCUUCCUCUUGGGUAGGAUAUCUGGAUUCUUCUUUUAAUAAAGAAUUUCUAGUUCUCUGCAUUAGAGGCUUUUCGCUUCAAUAGAUAGCACAAAUACCACUGCAUAUUUCUUGGUUGUGCGUUCAACAUCAUGGAUUGCAUUCUGAGGGCUGCACUCCUUAAUGCGGAUUGCCAUAUUUUGCGUUGUAUUCUCUCCAUUCUUUUAGAUCCUUAAUCACCACUGUCUUCCUGAGAAAGGGACUUAAAAGGGGAACACGUUACCUGGACUAGGGCUGUUAACAAGCUGAGAGGCUCGAGCUCGGCUUGUUUCACAAAUCCUCGGACUCAGGCUCGGUACCAAGCUUUGUAUUAGGCUCAAGCUCGGGCUUGCUUGGGAGGCUCUGGCUCGGGCUCGGCUCGGCUCGUUAACAGGCCAGCUACCGACACCACCUUCUCCCCACUCUGAUGGGGAGCCAACAUCCCCACCGGAAUUCAGGAACCGUCGGAUCCAAGGAGUUCUACACCAAAAAAGACAAAAUAGGAAACAAAUCCGAGAAUAGAAGAAAACGAGAAUCGCAUCGAAAGUCUAGGAUUUGGGAGGAGGUACCUCUCUUGACCGGCGAUGUCCCAGAUCUGAGCAUCGGAAGUCUUCCUCUUCCGCUUCUCCUCCUCAACCUUCUUUUCCCCCUCCUCCUCCUCUUCCCCUUUCUCCGCCUCCCUGCUCGCCUCUCCUCCGACCACCGCCUCCUCCACCACUGGAUCCCUCACCGCCUCUCCCUCCCCCUAAGGAGAUCUGUCCUCCGAACUCUUCUUCUUCUCCUCGAGCAUUUCGAAAACCAUCGGAUCGAAGAGACCCUAGAGCCUAGAGGAAAGCGGGGAUUGUAUGAGAGGCUGAGAGCCGAGGGUUUUAGACUAAAAUAGGAUGAGGUGGCAGGGGUCGGGGAGUAGAAACGGCCAAAUGGGGCGAUGGAUGGCCAGGAUGGGUUUGAAAUUUAAUUUGGGCUUACGAGCCCAAACGAGUUGCUCGGGCUCGGAUUUAAACGGGCCUCAUUUUGGAUUCGGGCUUGGGCUCGUUUGACUAACGAGCCAAGCUCGAGCCGAACUUUUACUGGGCCGAGCCCGAAUAGCUCGGCUUGUUAACAGGCCUAACCUGGACCCUUUCUCGGAUAAAAUUAGUUUCAUGGUCAAACUUAAUUACCAAUUAAGUACUUAAAAUAUGUCAAUGAUAGUGCCUCACUUCACAGAAAAUUUAGUGUGUUGCAUCUGAGGUUUUUUUUUUCCAUGAAACUCUAGAGUUUGAAACUUGAUUUGUGGAAACCUCUUAUAAACGUUUCGAUUGGAAAAUCUUCCUACUUAAAAUUAUAUAUGUAAGACGUAAAAUAAGGAUAUAUGAAACAGAAUUCAUAUUUCCAUUUUCUACAUAAAGUUAAAGACAAGAAACUUUUAUCGUAUGAGCUACAUGUUCACCUCGUUUUUGAGUAGUUAUUAAAUUUUCACUCAUUCUCUCUCUCUCUCUCUCUGCUUUUACUAAAACGGACCAUUCAUACAGUUUUAGUACAAAUACAUUCAAGAAGGUUAGAAAACAAUAAGUUCCAGUGCGUUCUAGACAAUUUCCUCUUUCUAACCCAUUGGGCAUCUCCAGAGUAAUUAGCCACAUACGAGAUCAUCCAGUCCGUAAUUUAAUUAGCCUCUCUGAACACAUGCUUGGCCUAGAAGGCCACACCGCCACUGCUUCUUAAGAUUCGUUAUAUUCUCCCUCUUCUUCUGGCCUCUAUGAAUUAUGAAGGCCACCUUCACCUGAUUGCAUUCCUUUUGCUGCUUGUCAGUGUGACGCUGUCAAGUGUUGCUUACUGCCAUUGGUGCCUCUGUAUGUAGAUAGGGGUAGGAGAUGCUAUAUAUCUUAAGGGUCCACACAAAUGAGGUACAUGUUGAAAAUAAGCAAAAGCAUGAAAUGGACAUAUUCAUGGAAAAGGGUUUAACCAGGUAGGGUUAUAUACCUUGAUAGACUUUCAUAAAAAGAUAUUUGAGGAGCUACUUGGCAGAGAACGGGCAAGAUUUUGACGGUGCUGACUACGGGAGACGUGUUGCAGGAUGGUUGUCUUUAUGUUCUGGUAAUCCUGCACCUGCCUUCGAUUUACGAAUGCCCUAUUAUGUGUGCCUGAAGUCAUAUAUAUGAUAACUAUGGAUAAUAAGACUUUGAAGCACUAAAGUCUUAACAUGUGUAGAAUUAUCAGCACAUUUUGAAGUCAAAUAAACAUAUAUGGCAGGUCUAAGAGCUAAUAAUUCUCGAUGAGUAUCAAUAAAUUUAUCAGAUCACUGAACUCAUCUUUGACUGAUCCAUUUUUCAAGUUAGCCCAGGCCAUGAAGCACAACCCAGGGCUUCUCUAGAUGGUAAAGGUAGUGGAUCCUGUAGAAUCACCGAGUGGAUAGUACGAAUUGAUGGUGGUGGUGCUUUUAUAAUAUUUUGAAUCUAAUUGAUUUUGGCUAAAAUUUUGAUGAUGCGUGACUGUGACUGUCAUUGCUGACAGUUGUUUAACCAUGUUGAUGAAACAUACUGCUGUUAAUAUGAUUCGUUUUCUAUAUAAUCAUGCUAUUGCCCUGAUUAUCUGAUGACAUUUAUGGUGGAGCCAUGCAGGUCUCUUGAACCUCCUCGAGAUACCGUCAAUUUGUUUGCCCUAUUGCCUCGACCCAUGGAUACAGGCUAGGGGUUGAAACCUGAAAGCCGUCGUCGAGAUUUUCUUCUCUUAUGCAUCAAGCUGCCGUGUGGCCAUUUUGGCCACUGGCCGGCCUAGUGGCAGCAAAUGCAGAUUCUGCGGUACAAGCCUAUGGUGGAUUGGACGAGACAAAAACUUUGUCCGGAGCGUUCAACUAAGUUCCCAAGGUAUGCACAAAUCGUUGUGAUCGCUCUCAGACAAGCCUACCUUUUUAUGCACAAUUAUAAUUUUAUCUCUUGAAAAAGGAAAACAGAGGAAAAAAUUUUGGGAAAAAAAAGGAAUGGAAUUUAGACAGGUAGCUUUUAUGUGUUGCUACAGUUUUGGGACUUGCUGUAUGCCAACCGGGCUGGCGGGCUGAUACAUAACAAAAUAAAAGAUUUUUUUUUUGCUAUUGGUCUGAGUAGAUUUCAUGGUCACCAUUGUUUUAGAAAUCAUUUUGCCCUGAUUUUUUAAUUUAAUCUGAUAUGUUAGCAAUUCAAUAAUUCGAUGUACUUUUUGUGACCUACAAAAUCCCAAAAAUGGAGGGUCCUUUGUUUUCUCUCUCUUAUCCUUUUGGAAUGAAGCUGCAUUGGUUUUCCCAGUCCUUCUCUUAAAGAAAAAGAUAUACAGAUUCAUGACUUUACUGCUAUAAGCUGCUAUAUAUAUAUAUAUAAGACUGAAUGAUGGCCUGUUCUAGAUGUACCAGCGUUCAUGGCUGCUAAAAAUGUGAGGGCUUUCAGAGUAACAUGAGUGCGAAGUUGAAGCUCGCCCACCUGCAAUAUGGCUCGCAAACUAACCUCGACGAGCACCAUCUGUUAGCAAUACACACACGUACACAUUUAGUUCUCAAUUGAAGAACCUCCUUGCAAGCAGGAAUCAUGCAGUUUGGUGGGCCAGAGCUAUCAUUGGGUCUUUAUAGCCUUCUUGUGAUCAGUGCUUUCUAUCCGUCCUAAAGAUGACUCGUCAGGGACACGUCUGUAACAUCCAUAUUGCUUGGAGUAUCUAUUCUCUGCCUCUGCUGUCCGACGGGGAAUUUAUCUUCAUCCCUUCCCUCUGCUAUGCUCAGAAAAUGAGGGAAGAAUAUUAGUGGAAUAUUAGUCGGGAGCCAAGUUGACUGACGCAUACAAAAUUAUCUUGUUGGAUUUAUUCCUCUAAGCCACGUAUCCUCCUGUGCGACUUUUAAAUCAUGCAUCUAAACCGGGUUAGAAGAAUACAGCUCUUCCAGUGCGACUGUCCUGCUUUUUGAGAAGGCCGGGGAGAAGAAAGGGAACUUGAAGAGAGGAGCUCUACAAUUUUUGAUGAUGGCAAGGCAUGGCAAGGACAUGGAAGGAGAGAUUCAUCGAUCGAUUUUAGCUGUGGCAGGGGUUGAGUUCCUCCUCUCUGGUGAAGAAAGGGUAACAGGGAUCAUCUUCCUCGCUUUUUGUCUAAUAUAAUCCUAUAGACAAUUGAUCUGUCUGGCUAAUGUUUGUUCAUACCAGCAAUUUAUUAAGAAAGACUUUUGAUUGAAUUUGAUUUCAUUACAUUGAAGAAAAUUGAUUUUAUCAUUGCAACUAUAUAAGCUAUAACCUCUUAAUGUAAACCUUGAUUUUCUUUCUAGGAUACCUUUACCUUUUCCUUCUUUUUCUUUUUUUUGAUGAAAGAUUGCUACAAGAUACAUACUGUAGGUCAGCUGGUUCUAUUUUAUCAUGCUUUAACAUUCAUUUAACAAGAGCUCGAGCAGAGGUUCUGAAACUUUCCUUUCGGGACUUGUUACCAGGUGCCGCUGUCGUGCAUCGAAGGAAAGAGCAUCUGCUUCUUCUUUUCAGCAAACUGGUGCCGGCCCUGCCGGAACUUCAGCCCUCACCUGGUCCAGCUCUACACCACCCUCAAGACCCAGGGAGAGAAGCUUGAGAUCGUCUUCGUUUCCUUGGACCGCGACGAGAACAGCUUCUUGGACCACUUCAAGCAUAUGCCAUGGCUCGCCGUGCCCUUCGACAUCAACAUAAGGAAACGGUUAUCCCGUCGCUUGCUCAUUGAACACAUCCCAUCGUUGAUUCCAUUGGCCUCCGACGGAAGGACCGUGAAAGAGGAUGCAGUUCAGCUGGUCGAGGACUUUGGGCCCGACGCUUUCCCCUUUGGUGCUGAGAGAAGAAAAGAGCUGGAAGCCAUGGAUGAGGCUAAGCGCCACGGUGGAAAAUUAGAAGAGCUCCUGGGGUGUGGAGGAAGAGAUUAUGUCAUCUCAGGAGAUGGCGCAAAGGUAAAUCUCAUUGCCUGAUGUGUAUGCAUGCAUUCAGAUGGAGUCGAGCUCUGGAAGAUGAAUCCCAUGGUCUAAUGUAUGUGCGCUUGGCUUCCACCAGCAUCCUAAUAUAUUCUGAAUGGUACCUUAGCAAUCAAUAUUGAUUUAGUUAGGAUAACGAUUUGUGCUGCACAGUGCUGUACAAUAGCCACUAUAUCAUCGAAUUACAGAGAUGGGCAGCUAUCAAACAAAAUGAUUUUAUGUGCCGUGCAAUGGAGCAUCAUGGUAUAUAACCGUCCAUCUCCUGAUGUUGGCCAUACAACACCAUGUGGUGCAAAAUGCGCACCCAGUUGAUUUUUUGGAAAGGGAGAAUUAAUUUUAACAUCCAAAAUUCAUGUAAUAUGAUAGAGAGCAGGGCUGAUUGACAAAGAAUAGCAAGAUUCCUCCACCUGCAUGCAUGAAGCUGCAUCAAUAUCUGCCAUCGAUUACAUGCUUUGAUAUAACAACAAAGCAACAGGAAGUGGUUUUACAAAGAAAGCAUAUUUUGCUACGUACUUCACACACCAGCAGAUCAACCGAUUUUUUUUUUAAUCAGAAAAUUACUUGUUCGUCUAAAAUUCUCUCUUUUUCCAUUUUUCUAGAUUCUCAUAGCUGAUCUUGUGGGGAAAACAAUCGGCCUCUACUUUGGAGCACGGUGGUGCCCGCCGUGCCGCGCGUUUACAUCGAUGCUCGCAGAGGCGUACAACGAGCUCAGAGAUGCGAGAAAGGAGAGCUUCCAAAUUAUUUAUAUCUCCACCGACAGGGACGAAGAUGAAUUCCAAGCAAGCCUGGAGGAGAUGGCGUGGUUGGCGAUACCUUAUGCGGACAAGACCAGAUACGACCUCAGCAGGAUCUUCGACGUGAAGGGCAUCCCUAGGCUUGUCCUCCUCGGAGAUGACGGGAAGGCCCUCGAAGCCGAUGGGCGGGCCAUGAUCUCGUCCUACGGUGCCAAGGCCUUUCCCUUCACCGAGUCGAGGGCCGCCGAGGUGGAGGCGGCCCUGAGGAAAGAAGGAGAAGGGCUGCCUGGCCGAGUCAAGGACCCCAGGCAUGAACACAUGCUGAAGCUGGAUGUGGCAAAAGCUUAUGUUUGCGAUGCAUGCAGACGUCGGGGGAGACACUGGGCCUUCUCGUGCGAUCGUUGCAACUUCGAUCUCCACCCAGCUUGCGUGGAACAAAUCGAGCAAUAAAUCAUGUCCAUGUGUCUGAAAGUAACAAUGGCAAAGAUUAAUCACACACAUAUAUAUAUAUAUACAUAUAUCAUAAUAGACAAUAAUAGGACAGGUUAAUUAUCGCAUAUCUAGACUUGGUUUGUUCAAUUACCUGCUCUUCAAUCUAGUUUGAAUUAGUUUGAGAGGAGUUUACUGUCAUCAGCUGCUUCUAAUAGCCAGGCAUUCAUCGAAUGCUCCAUCCCUCUCAAUCAGACAAAUAUGUUUUCCUUGAAAUGAGUGGAUGGGAAAUCUAAUGAUAAGAAAGGAGAAUCAACUUAUGCAAUGAGAUUUUAGUUUUCUCGAUCAACUAGUAGCCAACAACCUUCCAAUUAUGGAGAUUGAAGAAUUUCUUACCUGUAGUAUAGGAAACAUAAAUUUGAGCUUUGCCUAGUUCUUUUUUUGGUAUAGCCAAGAUUCAUACCAAGGAGACAGGUUUUAUGUUUGCAAAUGGUGGACAAUGUCAUGUUCCUUCAUUUUAUGUUUGCAAAUGGAGGACCAUGUCGUGUUCUUGCCAUCAACCUUGCAACCAGCUUUAACUAGAGGGAGGGCUCCAAGAGCUAUUGCAAUACACACAAGUUUUUGUUUGCCAAAGGUCUCGGUAAACAGGUGUCUAGAGUACCAUGGUAAGAAUUUUUUGGUUAAGAACAAAGCAAGUCGGUUGGUUUGAGGUUGGUACUCUUUGUUAUCAACUCAGGGUAGAUCUUACUGACUUCCGUAAUGCAACAAUUUGAACAAACCAAUACCAAGGACAACCGAAAAACUUUACCCCAUCACGACCCAAUCUAAUUUAAGUAUUUAACCCAAUAUGACACGAGAAAAGCUCGAACCAUUUUGAACAAAGCAAGCUCAAAGUUCUCAGCCCUACUGACUCCGUUCUAGUUCACCGAUCUAAACUAACCCCAGUGUUCUUCACCUACUUAGUUUUUGCCACUCUAAUUGCAGGGGAACAAAUGCAAGAGAAAAUAAGACAAGAAAUCGCGGUGUUGCAACGAACCAACUCACAGAGAAACCAGGGGAGGUAAAGAUAGACUCCAGGAUUUACGUGGUCAACGGGUCAAAACUCUAACCCCCACCGAGAUCCAAGCUGGACCCCACAAGAACAUCCCCCUCAUAGUAAAGGUCGAGCCAUCCCUUCCUGUCCCCCAACUCUCUCUUCUUUCUCUCCACCUUUCUAUCUCCCUCUCACCACCCCUGAGUUCCACCUCAGGGUGCCGCAGAGAAUUCCAAAGAGAAGCACAGAAGAGAGAGGAAAGAAGAAGAGGGAGAGGAGGAAGAGAAAGGUGCAGAAGGUCCAAAAGAAGAGAGAGUGUGUGUUUCUGUCCGUGUGUGAUCACCUUGGGCUGGGAAGCAGGUAGGCAGUUCUAUUUCCAUUGCCUCCAUUGCCUCAUUCUUUCACCUCAACCCCAACCAAAAACCUCGGUCCUCGAACUCCUCCUCAUUGUUAUGGCCCUUAAUUAAUUAGGGACCUUCUCCUCUUCCUUGGCUGAUAGGAGUGUGUGUUUAUGAUCUGGGGUUAUCCUUGGAUAGCUACUUGGUGUGCAGAGGCGAAGUGUAAGAGGAGAAUUAUGAGCCCAACAGAAGGUGCGACGUUUCCGCUGGUGGCGGUCGCCAUUGAUAAGGAUAAGGGCAGCCAGAAUGCCUUGAAAUGGGCUCUCGAUAACAUUGUCGACAGGGGCCAGACCAUCACCCUGAUCCAUGUCAAUACCAAGCACCCGGCACGUAAGACUCUCUCUCUCUCUCUAUAAUUUGCAUGGAAAGAAAUAAGAGAAAAAUCUUUAUAUUCUUGUCUUCAUGAAAAUUAACUUUUUAUCAGCAUACAAAUAAUUUUCAUUGUCUUUCAUUUUUCUCAACAACCAAACAGAGCCUAAUAGUUUCAUCUAGUGUCAAGUUUUUUUGGAACAAAGCUGGAUUUAUUCCAGUCAGAAUAAGGGCAAAAAAAAUUUGAUGAUACAAUAGCAAAAAAUUUUGUGAUUCACCUUCUUCAAAAUGAAGAGAUAAAUAAAUAAAUAAGCUCUUUGCUUCUACUCAUAUUGUAGAUGCAGUCAUCUUCAUAACUGCAUGCAAGCCUGCCUGCAACAAAGGCAACCAGAAUUGUGUGAGAACUAUGCAUGGCUAGUCUUUCCUACAACUAAUUUAUGGCUGUCAUUUCUGAUGCAAUGCAGCGGGGCACCAAGAGGACCCUACCUUUGCAGGCAGUCAUUCAAAGGAUCUAUUUGUUCCCUUUCGAUGUUUCUGCACGCGUAAAAAUGUGAGUUGCCUUUUCUCUUUUUCUGAGGAUCUUGAUCUGGAAUUACCAAUCAAACUACACAUUGUAGUUAUCAACCCUUGAAUGAUAUGGAUAAACCUUAUUUGUUCAGCUCUUUAUUCGCUUUAUCAAGGUAAUACAAGUUUUUGAGAGAAACAAGGUAAUGCAAGUUACCACCCAUAAUAUUCAAUACUCAACACAGGUAGUCUAGAAGACAAUCUAGAAUCAUUCUUGAGCAAAGAACUCUAUUGCCAUAUUUAAAUGAAGAAUAAUGCCUAUUACAUUUUCCAUCACCAAAGUUUCAUAGCCCUUGUAUUUCUUUAAGGUAGCAUUCAACAGCUACAGGCACAUUCUUUUCUACUGUUUUCACAGCCAGAUGUCCAAAUCCACAAGAAAUUUGGCUGGCAUAAUACAUAAGAUACCACAAAGGGUGUUCUGUCUACCAAAAGGGUUUCAGGGAUUAUUAUCAGCUAUAAGAUGAUAUAAAAUGAAACAAAUCUGAGAAACAAGCAUAUAUAAAGAGAUUCAAACAUCUAGGACAGUAUUAGUUACCUCUCGGAGUCAGAGAAUCUCUUCCCAGCUGUGUAAAAUGGGAUGCCAUGGCAGCACCACUCUUUUUGGCCAUGCCAUGCAUCCAAAAUACCAAUGCAGAGCAUUAUAAGAAUUAGAUAUUCUGCUAUUUCUUUCCUAGCAGGCCAGUGCGAUCAGAUCUUGACAAGAUAUAACAAGCCUUCAGGUUAUAUUCAACCUCCUGGUCCUCAUGGUCAUGAAAAGAUAUUAGACUUUAUCCCAUCAUAUGACGUCUAGGACCUUAGCAGCUAAGAGAGCUACCAACUCCCAUUUAUGAAUAAACACUAGAGUCAUGGACGCCUUCCCCUCCUCUUUUUACAUGAUUCUCAAAUACCAGUUCCAAUAAUGAAAAUGAAACCACCAUAUGUGGUACCCCUGUACCCCUGCAGUCUCUCAAUCCUGAGAGAAGACCGAUAAUGUAAACCUUGUCUCUCCCCGGCCUUUCUGGACAAAACCCAGAAGUUUGCCACUGCAUUUCAUUGGUAGACAUGUCUCAUUCAAUUAUCUAGUACAGUGCUCGCCAUUCAUAAAUCCACAAAAGUCGUGAUACAAAAUAUUCUCUGACCCAAUUUUCCAUUUUGUUCAACAGGUACAAUGCAAGGAUAUCAUACUCGAAGACACUGAGAUAGCAAAGGCGAUCAUAGAGUUUGUCUCGCAUGCUGCUAUUGAAAAGCUUGUCGUCGGUGCACCUUCAAAAAGUGGAUUUGGAAGGUAAUUUAUACAAUCUCAAGCAAUGUCAUAAUGGAGCGGAAGUCUCUGGUUAGGAAAGAAACAUGCCCUCUCAGAAUAUUUAUUGUCAUAUCUUUUCCGUCAGAAGAUUUAGGACUACAGAUGUCUCUACCAGUAUUUCCAAGGGUGCACCUGAUUUCUGCACCGUUUACAUCAUAUCCAAAGGGAAGGUGUCUUCCAUGAGGAAUGCUGUCCGAGCAGCGCCGGCCGUCUCCCCGUUCCGGGCUCAAAUUCAAAACCAAACAAGUAUAAGAAGUGAACAUGUAGACCCACAUCACCCUCAUGGUGUCAGAGGUUUGUGUAAACAUGAGAAUUGCUGCUGUCAUCAGUUUCUCUUUGAAUAGAAAAUAGAAAGCUUUCUUGUCCCCUUCACUCAAAAGAAAUUACGAGAUUUUCAAUUGCCAGGAGAGGCAGCAUUAGAGAAUUGGAAUGUGCAGAGCGAACGGGAACCAAUCAGGUAAUACGUCUUGUAGUGCAAAAACAGUGACACAGCUGCACAGCAAUAAGUAGUACUUUCUUUUGCUCCUAUGUUGAAUUGCAAGCUAAUAUGGUACCUCAAACAGGUCGCCAUUCACCAGAGGAACACGUGUCUUAACUGGAAAAUCAUAUACAGAGAGUAUAGGAGACAGUGAUAUAUCAUUCGUGAGUGGUGGCAGGCCAAGCAUCAAUCGCAUCUUUAAUCAGAGGUCGUCCAACAUGUCUGACGGCUUAGAUAGCAGCUUUGAGAUGCAAUCCCCACACAAGUCGGUGGGUGGCGGUUUCUCAUGUGGGACUGCAUUCUCUUCAAUGUCUCAGGACAGCACACCAUCAUCUCUCACCAUGGUAUGUGUAUUUACAUCUGAAGCACAAGAACAAAUUUCUUAAAAAGAAAGAACAAGAAUAAAGCUGUGUUUUGAGUAAUCAAAUGGAUACCUGCGAAUUUUUUGCAACUUAGCACCAGUCGUGAAGCUACGUGAUGCCAUCAACGAAUGGCAAUAAGUGUGAAUACUUCUCCGUCCUGCCUCCUUGGUUGAUGGUCACCAAUUUGUUCCGUCACUCGCAGGAAGAUGUGGAGGCGGAGAUGAAGAGGCUGAGACUAGAACUCAAGCAGACAAUGGACAUGUACAGUACAGCCUGCAAAGAAGCACUCACAGCCAAACAGAAGGUAAUGUUUUCACCACAUCUACAAAAUCCUAACUUCCUUGCUGAUUAUGCCUUUCGCUGCAGGCAAAGGAGCUCCAUCAUUGGAAGAUGGAGGAAGAGAGGAGGUUAGAGGAAGCUCACAUGGCGGAAGAAGCUGCCCUGGCUUUAGCAGAGAAGGAGAAAGCAAGAUGUAAGGCAGCCAUAGAGGCAGCUGAAGCCUCCAAAAGGAUCGCAAAGUUAGAAGCACACAAGAGAAUUAAUGCAGAAAUGAAAGCACUCAAAGAGGCUGAGGAGAAGAAGAGAGCAUUGGAUGCUUUAGCACAUACAGAUGUCAGGUAUAGGAAGUACACGAUAGAGGAGAUAGAAGUGGCCACGGAAUACUUUUCGGAGAAGCGGAAGAUUGGAGAAGGUGGCUAUGGUCCUGUUUACAAAUGCUAUCUGGAGCACACACCUGUCGCCAUUAAAGUUCUGCGGCCGGAUGCAGCUCAAGGGAGAUCUCAGUUUCAACAAGAGGUAUUAAACACCUUACACAGCCAUGUUACAUCGUCAAAGCUCUGUUAAUUACUCCAUAUGCAUACCAUGUGCAGAGUAUGAAAUGCAUCAAUUGGUGAUCCCAUAGCCAAUUAAAUCUUCUCUUGAUAGAGUUCCUCUACAACUAGCAGCUGCUAUGAUGAAUCCUGAAUAUUUUCAGUUGCAUGUGAACUUCAAUGCAGGUUGAAAUUUUAAGUUGCAUGAGGCAUCCAAAUAUGGUUCUUUUGCUGGGUGCCUGCCCAGAAUAUGGCUGCCUUGUCUACGAAUACAUGGCUAAUGGGAGCUUGGAAGAUCGCUUGUUCCAGCAAGGAAACACACCACCAAUCCCUUGGCAGCAUAGGUUCCGCAUUGCUGCUGAGAUUGGCACAGGCCUCCUCUUUCUGCACCAGACAAAGCCAGAGCCACUGGUCCACCGAGACCUUAAGCCUGCAAACAUCCUCCUCGACCGAAACUAUGUCAGCAAAAUCAGCGAUGUUGGCCUUGCCCGCCUGGUUCCCCCAUCUGUUGCGGAAAAUGUCACUCAGUAUCGCAUGACCUCCACUGCUGGAACAUUCUGUUACAUUGACCCUGAAUACCAGCAGAGUGGCAUGCUUGGUGUAAAGUCCGACAUUUACUCUCUUGGGAUCGUGCUGUUGCAGCUGAUCACUGCAAGACCUCCCAUGGGACUGACACAUCACGUGGAACAUGCAAUCGAGAAGGGGACAUUCACAGAAGUGUUGGAUCCAUCAGUCAUAGAUUGGCCAGUGGAGGAAGCCUUGAGCUUAGCCAAUAUAGCACUCAACUGUGCAGAGCUAAGACGGAAGGACAGGCCAGAUCUUGCUACAAUAGUGUUGCCGGAGCUUGAAAGACUGAGAAAUCUUGCAGAAGAAAAUAUGCAACAUUGUGCAUCUUUUGGCAGCUCACACACCUCACCCAUACACAGCCAAGUUUCUUUUCCGGUAAGCUAGAAGCAAAAAACCUGACUUAAUUUCUUACCUCCAAAAAAAGGAAAAGAACAAGACUACAAGACGGACACAGGUACAACCAUACUAAGUAAACUAAGAAAAAUCUGCAGAGUACCAUGCAUUGCUAGUUAGAUAUGAAUUUGGAAAGGGUAGCAUGGAAGAUAUUUAUAGAAACCAUACCUAGGUAUGUUAUAGAACUUUACACGUAUGUAUUCUUCCAUCACCCUUUGCAUGUAAACUGGAUAUUUCAAUUUAGACUUGCUGACAAAUAACUAAGCAAAUUAAAAGCAGUCAUGUGUUAUGCAAUUGUGGACCAUGGUAGAUAGACCUCAAUAGAUAAAGAAAUGAUAAUUAGAUCCCAUCUUCAAAGAAUAACUUAAUUGGUAAUUUGGUCUUGCUGGUAAAAUAUUUGAAAUGUUUCAGGAUGGUGUAUGCACGUGGAGAGCAGCAUAUGAAGAAAAGCUACAUCAUUUAAUAUAUAAGUACAAAGAAAAUGCUGCUGAAUAUCUAUAUCUUUGCUAAAUUCAAGAACUUAGUUGAUUUGAUGAGUAAUCCAAGAAAACCAAAAUAAGUUUUUCAUGCUGUCUUUCUGGGACUGAGAAUGGCAUCAUAUCAUCAUCACUUUUUCCCUUUUUUUUUUUGAUAUGUAUAUCACCAUCACCUUCAUAACUGAUCUGUAGUAACAUUUUUACAAAGAAAGUUUGUGAACCAUACAGUGGAUAUAAGAAUUUUUUUGAAUGAAUCAUUUCCAUCUUUUCUUGUUUACAGGAUGUCUUGAGCCCUCUACCUGGACAAUCUGGAUAUGAAAGCUCGAUAACCCGAUCAAGUGCAUCAUCCAUGUAUGGAAGAUGAUCAAGUGCUGCCUGAGAAUAUAGGGAACAGAUAAACCUGACAUAAAGCUCACUGAGAAGUACAGAAGGCUAUUUGCAUAAGGAGCCAAAAGAAUAACAUGAUUGCUCAGGCAGCUUUGAAACCAUUGCAGAAGCUGAAAAUCCAUAGUCAGCUUUUCAGCACUGAGUAAAACCAGUUGCUAUCUCAAGUAACAGAUCCUUCCCUCUGGGAACAGACAAGCAUGCUUAAGAAAAUAGCACAAGAUAUCAUUACUUCUCUUAUUCCCAUUUUGUUCAAGCUGGAGAUCCAACUUUUUAUUAGUUCCGAUGCCCGGAAAGAAAUGAUAAAAGAAGUCCCGAGUCAAGGCCUUUGCAGACUGGUGACAAGUCAUUGUGAAGGUGCAGCUUCUGCAUCAUGGUAUUGUCCAAAGCUCUAGGGUAAAGAAAUAUAGUUGUAAUCUGUAAUUUUCAGAUAUGCUUAUUUAAAAUAUGUACUGUCGAUACAACUACCACUUGUACCAUUUUACACUAAAAAUUUUCUCUUCUCAAUUUUUCUUUGAAAAAAUGAUUGCCAAAGCAGAACAGUUAUGAGAUAAACAAUUCUUUCAAUUUUAUUGAUUUUGCACUAUUACCAACUUGUUUAAGUUGGAAAAGCAGGCUUCAAAUUAAGAAACAACCAGCUUAGCAACCCUUCAAUAUAUGGUGCACAUGUGCAAGAAGAUGCAAGUGACAUACAAGAAUUCAAUAUAACCAAGGUCAUUCUAUUCAUAAUAAAAUAUCUAAAUUUUAUAAUUAUUUAUCUUAGAAAGCCAUUGCAUUUGGGAUCCACCUGCAGAGUAAGUUACAGAAUCAAACUUUUGUGUUUCCAUUGCCAUUUACUCUCAAAUACCUAACAUUUCAGAUUAAGCCAGUCAUAUUUUGCAACUAUUUUCCUUAUUCCUUCUUCUCAUAUAUGUCAGCUUGAUUAUUUUUUUCUAACCAUUCAUAACAGUACUCAUUUAAUCAUUUCCUUUUUCUGCCGUAAUGACUUCUGAAGUUUGAAUACUAAUUGAAGUCUCUAGGCAUAUGAAAAUGUAUCGGAGAGGUUGCCAUUUGGUUCGUUUCACUGCUUUGAAAGCAAUUGUAUACAGCAAUACGCCUAUUAAAAUGAACCAAGCAUUCUCUUAUGGCACUCUCAUCUCACAAAUAAUAUUUCUCUUUUAAGAAUAAUCAUGGGGGCGUCCUUGAUCAUUUCAUAGAAAUGAUUGAAUAAUUACCCACAAAAACUCAGGAAAACACCUCUCAAGUUUCAAACAUAUGAAGAAGGCUGCGACCCCUAGGAUACACUAGGAUAUAGCCAUACUUGCAUAUUACUGCAAUCAAUGAACUAAUAAAAAAUGAAUGACGACUUCUAUCCAGACAUGCAUCAACAGAACCAUACAUCACAAGAUUUGGAAUGGCACUCUCAUCAUGCUCAUCCUUGAGAAAUGCUAAAGGCCAUUCAUCUUAUGCAAUCAGCCUAUGUGGAAUUCCAGCCUUGACCAGACUUACGAAAUUCUUUCCACAGGCUUUUCAUUUUCCGGAGAAGAAAAGCGGAUAAUCAGUCUGUACUGCAUGUUCUGCCUUUCAAGAUCCAUAGCGUUAAAAACUGGAUUUUUCUAAACGAACUUCCUUUCCCUUGCAUAUCUCGACACCAUUCCCCCCCGUUGCUUCUGAAACUAUCAAUUUUGUCACCCACCAUACACCAAUAGAGAUAAGUACAUCUUAUAAUAUGUCAUGAAAUCAUUCAGUAUGCAGCAGAAAUCCAAACCUCUAAAACCAUUUUUUUUUUGAGUUGUAUUGUCCUCUGAACCUGAAUACCUUUCUCAUUGCUAACAUGAAAACUAGAGAGUCAGGAGGAUGCAUCACAAGAAACUCAGGUGAUCCCAUCAAACCUUGAUGCUAGACACAUUGCUGUAGAGGACUGAAAGUGGAAGACAGGUCGUCGGAAAGCUGCCUACCGCUUAUUGCUAGGUGGACAGCCAGAGGUCAAGGAGGCCCAGAAAAUAAUAUAUCAUAAAGAACUAAUAAUUAUAAGGAGAAAUCCAAAAAGAAAAAUCUAUAUUCCAACAAAUGAAGCAUCAUAUAUCUAGAUAUAUGUAUCAAUUUGGUAACUUCGAGUACUAGUUUAUGAAUCAAUCUCAUCCUCCAUACCGAAACAUGACACGAAAUGUUGAGCUGGAGGCACUCGCAGCAUCCUUUUAAAGCAAUAACCAGGCACAACACAAUCAAUCUACUGACACUCCAGAUCCAUCGCAAGCAUAACAAAGCAUCAAAGCUCAUAAAGUAAGCCAACCGAAAAAAAAAGAGAGAUAAAUUAUUCAUAAUACGAAUAAAAUAACAGUUAUAUAGCAAAAUUAGGUAUUUGAGCGCGACCUAAUUAUCACAUCGAAUUAUCAGUGCGACGCCUUUGUAUAUGUCAAUGUUACUCCAAUUUUGUAACCAGUGCUAGAUGAUUUGAUCUCAAUAUAAAGGGAAUCCAAAUGCAUCCCGGUAUCCAGCUUAAAGAAAGCUAAAAAAAGGGGGAAAAUCCCUUUUUUAAAGUGAACGAGCUAAAUCCCAUGGAUGGAUCGUUCUGUUCUAUAGAAUAAAAACCAUAUAUAACAGAUCGACGAACAGACAGAUGAAGAAAUGGAAUCCAGGCGCUUACCUUUCGAUCCGAAACCCUAGAAUGGAUCGCGAUUUGGGGAAAAUGGAGGACGGCAAGGAACCAACCGAGCUCCGAGGACGGAAAAAUGAGUUCGUGGCGGGAGCGAAACGGCUUAAUUUUGGUCGGUCCGGUUCUAGACGCCGACCGCGUCGAACCGGUGCUCGAUAUCGAUUUGGGCCGGGCUCAGAGACCAAGGCGCAGCCCAUUUCGAGUCCUCUAAGGAAACGAAUUAUUGCAAGAAAAGCAGCCUGAUUAAGAAGCAUAAAAGCUUUUAAGAUGAGUGCUAAAUUAAAUGAAAUGGAGCACAAAAUGUUGUUCAUUUAUGGGAAAAGUUACCUUAUCCGGAAUGGUUAUAUAAUGGCCAAGAGUUUAUAUAAAUUUCAUUUUUAUAACUUGAUACACUCAUGCAUUUCUAACCAGGAGCUUAUCUCAUAUUAAAUUUGGAAAAAUUGAGAAGAAUUAUUCUACAUUUUACAUAUGGAUAUGAAGUAAACAUGGAGUUAAAGAUAGCAGAUAAGAUAAUUAUUGUCGUAUUUAUGCAAGUCUAGAAACAAAUGGAUUCAUUAGAUCAGUAGACUGCUGCAUAUGAUUCAUUUAUUUCGUGGGUUGCACAAAGGUUCAGACAUAGGAACAUCUUUGGAUUCCAAAAGGGAUCGGCUCUAUCAUGCAUGACAAAUGUGGUCCAUUAAUUCUUUUAACUAUCUGACAUAGCUUGCCUGAUUUCUCAUGGGUAGUUAUUAUGGAAACUUGAUUCACUAUGUAGCUUGGUCAUGCUUAUUUAGGAGACCAUUAAGCCAGCAAUGCUAUGCCAUGGAUGCGUCUAUUAUAUCCUUCUUGGGAUUGGGCUGUGUAUUUCAUGAAAAAGAAGGAUUCAUCUUCCUUCACACGGAUCUACUAUUGGAGUGCACACUAUUCGCUAAGCAUAUUGAAAUAUGUGCAGUGAGUGAUCUAAUGGUGGAUUUGCAUGAAGGUAGGUGAAUCCUUCUUUUGCAUGAAAGAUACACCCCUAUCCAUCCUUCAUACAAUGGUUAAUGGCUAGGCAAAUCCAUCCAUCUCUAUAUAUAAUAUAAUAUAAUAUAUAAAGAAAGGGAGAGUGAGAGCUAGAUUGGGUUAUACUCGAAUGGAUAUCUAUUCAAAUCUAGUUAAAUCUAAAUUGGACGAUAGGGAUCCCACAUUGAUGAUUCAGAGUUAUUAAAUGUAAUCUACUAUACUAUCUUUAGAUUGCUUAUAUACCAAAAAUCAUAUGAUUUGGAGAUGACUAGUCCAUACGUCGAGUGGUUUCAAAAUAAACAACCUAAAUAAUGCUAAAUUAUAUUUUUUAUUUUUUAAUUACUUAGUAUAUAGAUGAUCCAAAUAGUUUAAAGCUAGUAGACCGCAUCCCACAACUCGGAUCAUCAAUGUGGAAUUUUCAUUGUCCAAUUUAGAUCGGAUCGAAUUUAAGUGAAAAUCCACUCUAUAUAUUAUAGUCAAAUGCAGCUCUCUCUUUCUCUCUCUAUCUCUCUCAUUAUAUAUAUUUUUGUGUAUGCGUAUGUAUGUAUGUAUAAAUAUAUAAUAUAUUGAUAUAAAAUGCAGCUAAUGCUCAACAGAGCGAGCAUCACAAACCAUGGACCUUGUACUUCUCAAUAUGCUUUUGAAGUACCAACAGACCCUCUCGACUGCACGGCUUUCCUUCAACAACAUAAACAAAGUGCCGAACAACAAAUUCUAACCACAAGGUUCCAAGUUCGAAUCGCUGCGGCGACGAUUAAAUUGUGGACCGGAGCUCACUACUUUGGCCACCGCUUGGACUUGUGGUGUAGGACCGCUCUUGAACCGCUAGUAGCCGGGGUGGUGCCGGGUGUGACGUACUCACACGUGGGACUCGAGCCAGAGCUCAGAGGAGUAGCUGAGCCGGGCCUACGGGUGGGGAGGGUAUGAGUAAAACCGGUCGGGGUGCCCAACACACGGCCAUUUCUGCCCGCAUCGAACAUUCUCCUGGCGGGGCGGGGGCCCAGUGGGGGCUGCUACGCGGGGGUGGGCUUGUCCCUUCCUCCCUCCUACCCCUUUUUCAUUAGCAAAAAAAAAACAACAACAAAUUCUAAGUGUACGACACACGCUGCAGAUACUUUUCUCACGGACUACUUUUUUUUUUUCUUUAGGCAAAAUGGAAGAGGACCAACCCUCGCAGCAAUCUCCACUAAGCCACCUCUUUACUAAAAAAUAUCCGGUACGAUCAUACCAGCACCAUCUAAGUAAUAACAGAUCAGAUAAUAACUUAAUCGGGCACCAAAUCUAUCACCAAUAUUGCCUUAUCAAAACCUUUGUGCAACUUGUGUUUGCUCGUAGCCAUCUGUGUUAAUUUGCUGGUGCCGGUAGCUAGCCAACAAAGAAGACGCUUAAAGGUGACGGUGUUACGAAGAAAAUGGUGCAUGUUUGAAGAGUCAAAUGGACUUUUCUUUUUUUUAUGUAUUCACUCCAGGCUUGAGCCAUUCGUUGUAGAGAGAGGGAAAAAAAAAAAAAAACUAGAAGGACUGCAAACAAGUCCACAACAAAAGUGCCCUCCACCGCUUGAGUCGGUCUUAACUUUCACUUCCUUGCACAAUAGGGACAUUGAGAACCUGACGUCUAAUCUGCUGUUGUUCCCUUGCAGCGAGUGGAAGAAGAAGAAUUUUCUUUACCUCUUGAAUGAUUCUUUUAUUCUCUUGAGCAAUGUUUUGUCCUAUCAAAGUGAUGCAGAAAGAAAGGGAAUAUAAGAGCAAGAAAUUAGGGAGAGAAUUUGACACGAUAUGACGCAUUGUGUGGGCACCAUGAACUUGAAAGGAAAGAAAAGUAAAGAGAAAUGCCCAAUUUUAUAAUCCAUUGCCCCAAGCUUUAUUAAGCACAUCACACUACCUAUAUGUUUUUAUAAUCAUCUUUAUUAUACAAUAUCUUAUCAUAUCUUGACAAUUUAUAGGAUAUCUCCUGAGAUCAUCACCCCAUUGUACAUUGUCACCUUCCAUGACAUGACAUCAACAAGAAAUGAUAACCUAAUUAAAGACAAAAAUAUUGAACUAUCAACCUUUCUCUUAAAAUUGUCCAAUAUCAAUAUAUACAUCCUUCCUAGUAUAUUUAAAAUCCUCUAUAUCUUUUAAAUUGAUCCUCUUUUUUCCCUCAUGUCCUCACUUUGCAAAAAUGAUGAAGAUUGAGAUGGCAUUUUGCUUCAUAGUGUAUGCAUAUAUAUGUAUUUAAUAAUGAAAUUCGGAAGAUUUGCACUAUAUAGACAUAUUGUGCCAACCAAUAAUAUUAAUAAGGUGUCUAAAUAUUUUAACGGCCUUUAUGCUUGGUAGGACUGAAUUUGAGUUGGUUUACAUGGAAUUAGAUCUUAGUUUCUUUUGGAAUUAGUGUUAUUAUUCCAUAUAAUGAUUGCAAUUUGGUUGUUUUUUUUUAUUGAAUGCAUAUCAAGGAUAAGAAAAUUGAUGUUUUGAAAUAUGAGGAAAAGUAUUAAAAAAAGUGAAAAUUUUUGAUCAUGGCUAAGUUUGCCCUUGCAAUAACCAAUAUCUUUUGUACAUUUGCAGUAUAAAUUAUUUCAAAAGAUAAUUACAAUACCAUUAAGUUAAAGGAGGAUAGAAUUUAUUAAGAUAAAAAUUAUCUUUUAGUUAUAUUUUUCCAAACCAGACAUAUUUGCACUUCCAUUGUUAGUUUAUAGUAAUUUAUUUAAAUAUCAUAUUAGUAUGAAUAUAUAAGAAAAAUAACUAAUAUAGUAUCAGUAUACUGGUAUUAGUACAAUAUAUUAGUUUAGCAAUAAUAAUAAACUAAUAUUAUUUUAUAUUAAUAUAUUAAUACAACAUCAAAAUCAAUAUUUCCAGACUGCAUGAACAAAUAGAAGAUCGGACUAGUUAACUUGCAUUUCGACUUCUAGUUGAGCCCAUAAUUGUCAAAAUUUGGGAAUGAAAGCAAUGCCCUAUUUUAUACUUCUUUUGAUGUCUUUGAUAGCCCGAAAUGUUAUACAUACAUAUAUACAUACAGACAUACAUAUAGUGUGUGUGUGUAUAAGAUUUGACAAAAUGUGACAAAAUAUAAAUUGGUGGAGAUUAAAGAUUGCAGCCUCCACUAGUUGCAUUGUACCUCUAUUGAGACACAUGGCAAUGCCUCAUUUUUGAGAGUUGAGUGACGUUUUUCUUUCUUGAGAGAGAAUAUUAAGAUAUCCAGCAGAAAGAUGAUGUAUUUCAUUCAAUUUGUUGUUUGUGGAGGAGAUAGAGAUAGAGAUAGAGAUAGAGAUAGAUAGAUAGAUAGAUAGAUAGAUAGAUAUAUAUAUAUAUAGAGAGAGAGAGAGAGAGAGGAAAAAAAUUUACAGAUUGCCUCUGAAUUAGAAGCCACCAUUCUACAGUAACGGGAAAGUUAUCUUUGAUGGAAACUUGAGACAUAAUUCCUUGAAAGAGAAAGUUUAAAAGUUAUAACAUCUCUUUUAUUUCCAUAUAUAAUGGAGUUUUUCCAGUAAAACCAUCUCACCUUACUAAGGAGUAAAUCUUAUAAAAUAUAGUAAACCAUGAAGAUCAUGUUUUGCAUAGAACUCAAAAAACUUCAAACUUUUUUUAUUCAUUCGUCUUCAUAGAUCUCAAAAUAAUUGUAUGUUAUGUAAAUCAUAUUUUGCACAGAAAGCAAAGCGCUCCAAACUUCUUUAUUCAUUUAUCAUCUUUACAGAUCUCAAAAUGAUUAUUUUAUAAUAGAACAAUGGAUUAGUGGAACUUUAAUUGCAUUGGGAGUGUCACGUAGUGCAGAAGCAAUGGUUAACGCACCCACUAUUGCCUGCACUCAGCGUGCGCACAAAGGGAAGGUGGUGCAAGCGAGAUUAUGGAAUUGGGCCACUUUAUAAAGCAGAACGGUAGUACUUUUCGUAUGAUACUGCUCUCCCGUAGCUUUCAUCGCCACCUUAACAAAGGAUGUCUGGCCUUUCUGAAAUCACUUAGAAUGGGCGAAUAGAUGCUAGUUGUCUGAAGGGAAGGUAAAAAGCUUCGAACAAAUCUAGAUGGGGCUGAUUAGAUUUUUUUUUUUCUUCGAACUUCUCCAAUUCAAAACCACUCUCACCCUCCGUCUCCAGCAGCAGUUUUGAGAAAAGGGAUGAGUGGAUGUUAAUAAUAGUUUGGCUUUAUUCUUACAGAAUUUUUUUUUACUAAGAACAUAAUAGUUAUGUUUACAUAUUUUUUAAAAAUAAAUACUCAAUUAAAUAUAAGCUUAUAUUACUUUUUCAUAGUUAAUCAAACGGGCAAAAUCACUUUUUCAGAUAUCAUGUAUUCAGAAUUCUACUUUUCAGAAAAAAAGCAUUUCAAUGAGGAAAUUUUUUUUCUCACGGGCCAAAAGUCCAAAAGGCUAAUCUUACUUUUCUUCGUGACAAUCUUGCCUUUUUAAAAAGCUUCAUAAGAGUUGUGUGUGUUUUGGUCCCACCAUGCUAAUAAAUGGCAAAUAUAUUUUUAAAUAAUUUGAAUAAAUGAAAAAUCUUAUUAACUUCGUUUUGUAACUUUUAGUUAACUGUAACCUACCUACCUACCAAGCAAAUAACACGAGGGAGCAGCCAGUAAGAAUAAGAAGGUUGUCAAAAUGGGCACUUCUUUCUAAUUUACAUAAACCUGCUCCAUUACAACGGGGUGUAGAAGGAUUGCACUGGUAUAGAUUACAUCAUGAUCACACCGGUAUAUAAACCGAAAAAACACACACACACACACAUAUAUAUAUGGGGGUUGAUAACCUACUCUCUGUUAUGGUAGGUUAUCAAUCUACUCAUUUUUCAUUAGACAAAAAGUACCCUUACUUUUUAUAACUUUUAAGGGCACUUUAUGUCUUUUUACAAUCUCACAUUUACUCACCCUCUUAACCCCUCCAAUUAAUGCUCUCUCCCUCCUCUCUCUCUCUCUCAUACAUAUACAUAUAAAUAUACAUACAUACAUACAUAUAUACAUACAUACACAUACAUACAUACACAUACAUACAUAUACACAUGCAUACAUACAUAUACACAUGCAUACAUACAUACGUACAUACAUACACAUACAUACAUACAUACACACAUAUAUAUACAUACAUACAUAUAUAUAGACAUACAAACAUACAUAUACAUACAUGCAUACNNNNNNNNNNNNNNNNNNNNNNNNNNNNNNNNNNNNNNNNNNNNNNNNNNNNNNNNNNNNNNNNNNNNNNNNNNNNNNNNNNNNNNNNNNNNNNNNNNNNNNNNNNNNNNNNNNNNNNNNNNNNNNNNNNNNNNNNNNNNNNNNNNNNNNNNNNNNNNNNNNNNNNNNNNNNNNNNNNNNNNNNNNNNNNNNNNNNNNNNNNNUAUACUACUAUAUAUAGUAUAUAUAUAUAUAUAGUAUAUAUAUAUAUAUAUAUAUAUAUAUAUAUAUAUAUAUAUAUAUAUAUGUAUAUAUAUAUAUAUAUUAUAUAUAUAUAUAUAUUAUAUGUAUGUAUGUAUGUAUUUCAGUCAUCAUGAAGACACUACACAACUUGCAUAUUAGCUAUUAAUUGAUAUCAUUAGCAUCAAAAUUAUUGUAAUAAUAUUUCUACAUUACACAAUUAUUAAAUAGUUAUAAUGCUGUUCUAUCUUAUGGUGGUUCUCAAUCAGCAACUUUGUCUACAUGCUUAUUGGUACAGCAAUUUUGCGUAUUUUUUCUUAAUCUAAUUGACAUGGGAAAGAUUAGAAUCUGAUAAGAUGCGUCCAAUUAAAAAAACAAUUUAUUUAUGGCAUAUUAGUUUUAACUUGUUGAAAAUGUCCAUGUUCUUAGUAGGUCUUUUACAUUACAAACAGAAGUUCACUCCAAGCAAUGAAAUUAAUUUGCAUUAAGGUUUCUUGAUUGAAUGAGUAUUCAUGAUUGGCAUAUGAAUCUUCAAUGGAUACACAGGAGUUAAAAACAUUUUCAAAGGAAAGGAGUGUAUUUAGUAACUCCUUCAUAAAAUCAUGGUAUCAUAUUUCUCACCAUGUCAUAGUUGUUGGCUGUUGCGCACUAUGAAAAGGCAUGUUGCACAAAUCUCCUCAGCAUAGCUCUAUUAGCGAUUGAAAAUUUUAAAAAAUUUGAUAUGUGCUGGAUAAUGUAAUAGUCUUGCAGAUUGAAUUUUUUGGCGUACUUAAUUCAAAAGCAAAUAAAUAAAAUACAAAUAAAUAAAUAAAUGCCACCACCUCCAGGAAUAAAUUUAGUGCAGAGUGAUUAAUUCUGCAGAUGAUGUAGGCUUGAAUGAAAAUAAUCUAAGAGCAAUCAUGCACAUCCAUCAAAUUCGUAUAUAGUGGGAGAUUGAUAGUAUAAUCUUAGGAGAUUUUGAGAAGAUAUAUAAUGCACGUUAGUGCCAUUUUUUAAACCUUACUAAAACAAACAUAUAAUGUUUACAUAAUUACAAUCUGCUGCCGCUAAGAACUGGCCCGUCUUAGGCACUGCGAUGAGAAGCGAGAUGAUGCUGGAAAGCUCAAUUAUCGGCUGCUCCAGUCGGGAUCGGAGAGAGCAAGGAGUAUGUGAUGGCUACCAAGGUCCUUUUUGGGUGACCGGACUCCGAUCUGAAACAACACAAACGAAGAAGUCCUUUAAUCGGAGCGUAUCCGGCCGAGGAUCCUUCAAUGCCUAAGCCAAAAUAGUGCUCAUAAAAUAGAAGAAGGUGUUCUCUCAGUCUGUUAGGGCAUCUUUUGUGUGUGUCCUCACCUCCUGGGUUUCCUUCCUUUUUGAUUGAGGGGCUGGAGUUUACCUAUGAUCGAAGAAUUAGGGCACAUGGGCCGAUCAAAAAUGGCUGGCUUGGGUACAAUCUGGACAUCAAGCAUGAAUCUCGCACGCAGAUGAUGUCCUGUCUGUCACAUCAGUUAGAAUUUUGGUGAUCACUAGGGCCUCCGGUUAGGAGUAGCCUCUCCUGAUCAACCACAUGUAGGCAUCGUGGCAAAUUUUGAUUGGCUGGCCCUUCUGAUGAGCUAUGGCCAAUUUGGAGGUGCAUCACUUUCUUCCUACUUUCGCAAUCAAAUUGAGCUAACCUGCUAUGGUUGUGGAAGUAGUUUUUCAGAAAGGCCACAUUUUUUUUGCUACAACGGAUGGCUCAUACACUUCUAUUGUGAAUACAUCCAAAAAAGUUAAAAGAUAACAAGUCUUGGAGUGCUCUAGGCAACUCUCUCUCACCAAUCUAAAGGACUCCUCCAGAGUGGUUAGCCACAUAUGACACCACCCAAACUGCAACUCUAUUGGCCUUUCUAUAGAUAUGCUUGGUCUGGAAGGCAAUGUCUCCACCUACCAUGGCCCGAAUAUCUUGAAGCAAAGUGUGGAAGCUAUUUACGCCGUUAGUGCCCCCUGAAUCUAACCGAUCACUGUAGCCGAGUCACCCUCAAAUAGGACUGCGCUGGCCCGCAAAACAUGCGGAGCUUAACACAGACCUACCCAAGCUGCCCUCAGCUCUACCUCCAGAACAAAAAUGUCAAAGAUCUGGCACCCACCUGCAACAACCACCUUAGAGUCAGGAUCUUUGAUGACAAAGCCUGCGCCACUCCUCCUGCCACCGUCUAGCAUGCAUCAAUCAAAGUUGACCUUAAGAAAACUUGAGGAUAGGGGCUCACAGGUAAAAAUUGUUGGAAGUCUCAUUCCUUUAAUAGUUUGUAAUGUUGAGAGGGGUUUUAGUCCCACAUUACUUGUGUAGAGUUUUUUAGAUAGCUUUAUAAGCAUUCAUAUCCUACACAUGUUAAAGUAACUUUUUGGUGGAAAGUUGUGGAGGGAAAGCCAAUAUUAUAUUAUCAAAGAUUGGCACUUGGCACAUGUAAAAUAAAAUUCAUAUUAGCAGUUUUUAUCUGUUUUGCACAAAAUAACUACACUAGCAGUUAUAUUUUGAACAGACACUAUUCCAAAAGUUGUGUUGGUUCAGAGUUUAAUUCAGGGUUAUAAAUUGCCAAUGUCCUUCACAGAUUAAGAUAACUUCUUCUACAAAAUCUUUCAUUCCGUUGUUCUGGAGAAUCCUAGUUUUGCUGGCGAGGAUUCUAUUUCGGUUUUGUUGUAUCCUGGAGCGAAUUUGUUGGAUCACCAAUAGCAACAUAGUGGGGGCAAAAUUCGCUUAAGGACAGUGUUAAUUCACGCUUCAAGACCGGUUUCAAAUAUUAGAAAUCCUCAUGCUUCAACAAAAACACUGUCUGUGGCACUACAAGAGCAAAUGUAGUGCUCCACAUGCUCCGAGCUAUCAAAGAUCUAUCUGAUGGACCAACAUGGGUGAUCUCUGUGCCUGUAAAGUAGCUUGUUCCAUGAUGAACCUAGGUGUCGGGCAGAUCUCUCAAAAAAUUUAGGCAAUUUAGGCCAGCCAGAUAGGGUAAGCAGUAUAAGUUGCCCUAGUAGCUACAUACCGGAUUCUAGGGGCGAUGGCCCACCGUCUGAGCACCUGAGUGAAGGAGCCUGACUGACACCGAGCGUCCGGCGGGAUGUCAACGAGCCUCCAGACCCUCCUAGCUCGCUCACACUAAAACAAAGCGUAGUCCACGGUCUUCUCCACGGCUCCACCUGGCACCCAGGGCACUGAGGUUGCAUGCCCAGUCCCUACCCGCUCAACACCGAUCUCAUUGACAACCAACCCUAGACCAUCUUCUAGAGGAAUAGGGCAACCCUCGGGUGAAGACCAAAGCCGCUUCAAUGGAGAUCGCCACAGAGGUCUUUAACCCCCCUACUGGGGGUACACAUGCAUCGACAUCGUUGCAUCGGCCGACCUCACGAAGCACAAAGUUGGGGACCUUAUUAUCGAACUAGUCCGUGAGGGUCUCCGACUCGGUGCUACACGAGGGCAAUCUCUGGGUGAUGUGGAAGAUGAUCCAGGGGUUUAUGCUCCCGGGCGAUGAGGAGGAGCUGUGGUGGAGGUCACUAGAGAUUAUGCUCAACUCAUCCUGCCGCACUGCCAUUGAGGUAAUCAGAUGGGUUCUUCUGCCUGCUUGUCUUAUUUGUUUUGUUUUUAUUUUCUGAAAAACUAGCCUCCUCUUUGUUUCUGCAAGGGGUGUACGCUACCCACAUACUAAUUGAGGUCAUCCGCUCCCAUCGGCAAAGAUUGGAGGUCUCCAACUGCCUCCUUUGAGAGGCGGAGCAUAGUAGGGCCCACAUUGAGGUGGAGCGGGUGGAGGCCGAGAGGAGAAGAGAGGAGGUUGAGGUGCGGGCUCAUUUCCUCAGCUCCAAGGCUGAGAGUUCCUAGGUAGAGCUAGGGUAGAUGGUCGUUGGGCUGCGGGAGAUGCAGCAGGCCAUUAGCGAGGAAGGGGCAUGUGUGAGAAGGAAGGUCGAUGUGGAGAUUGUUCACUUGAGGAAUGCAGUCACUGUGGCCAAACUUCGGGCCUCCCAAGCUGAGGAGAGGUUCACUUAGGCAGAGGAUAGAGCUACCCAGUCUAAGGAGAGGAGUGACAUCGCAGCCAAAGAGGUCAUCCAAGCGAAGGAGGAGUCUUUUCGUGCUAAGGAGAGAACCCAACAUCAUCAUAGACUACAAGACUUCUAUAGAGUUCCACAGCGAGAUGUUAGAGGCCGCCAAAGACUCCUUCAAGAAGAGGUUCACCUUCUACCAGAGAAGAGUCUACAAGAUGGCUCCUAAGCUCGAUCUUAGCUUGGUCACCUUCUCGGGCGAGUGCUCGAACGAGGAAGCCUUCUUUCGGGGAUUGGGGAGCAAGGCCGAGGAGGAGGAAGAAGAGAAAAAAAAGAGGAAGAGCCGACGAAAGACGAGUAAUUGUGUACGCUAUUAUUUAUCUCUCUCACUUGCUUUUUUUUUCUUUGGUGUUGGCUCAGCUACGAGCCGUUGUUUUGUACUUUUCUUUCUUUUCUUGUAAAAUGAAUGAAAGUUUGCUCGUCUUUUUACUUACUUGGUGGCUCAGCUGAACCGAUGCCCUUUUUAUUUGAGGGGUUGCUCAGUCUAGAGUACCGUUCGGUAACUAUAUGAUUAUGCCCUUUGUUUUUCGAAAUGGUUGUCAAGGCACCCACCUCGACAAUGUAGUGGCACCUGCUAAGCAGUCAUCAUGGGGCAGAAUUUUGUCAUUUUCUCAAAAAGCUACGUGUGCCAUCAUACUGACCUGUGCUCGAAGUCCAAGCACCUUUCUUCAACAAGGCUCGUACCUUGAUGGGGUGAUAACCCCGAAUGCUGCCAGGAUAGUCGUGGGCUCCUAGAGAAUCCUGGAAUUAAAUUUGGCCUAGCUAGGGGCUUGACAUGUGUCCUCUGACUUGAGCUUGGGUGCUUCGGUUCCAACUAUAAAUCACGCCUAUAAAUAGGACAAGAAUCUCCCUUUAUCUCUUUACUGUAGCAAGUACCUUGCCAUUUGACUUUGUCGAGCUUUGGAGAGACUGUAGUGCGACUCGUGGGGGUCUUCCACUAGUGAUCGGCCAUCAGACUAGCGAAGAUGGGGGCGGAGCUGAGAGUAGAAGCAACCCAGGGCAGAAAGUUGUCUUAAGUUCCUCAAAUCAGCAAUGAGAUCAGAAAAUAUGUCCCUGUAUGCCAUAGAGGAUGAGGGCAAGGUUGCUCCUUCCUUAGGAUACGAGUCUUCUAUUGUCACGGGACGUGAAGAGGUUGAGUCCUCACCAAGGAGGUUUGGUUGAGGACUGUUUUAUCACCUUCAAGGAAGCCGCAACAAAAGGCAGUCGUCAGACUCCUUAUGGAUGUUGUAGUCCAUAAACAUUUAGUUGCUAUCGGAUUUCCUAUGCUUUCACAUGGGCUACCCAAUUUUUCUUUCUUAUAUAAGCACGUAACCAAUUGGAUUGUAGUUUCCACUAUAAUUGGAGCAAUGAAUAAAGAUCAUCUUUUUUGCUUUGUCCUCCUUUACUAUUUCUAUUCCUAUUUAUGAUCAGCAUCAUGAUUCCAACAACUUCUUAGGAUUCCCAUGGGGAUUAGCAACCUUCCUCGGGUUGCCUCAACACCACUUGGGCCUAAGUCAUCACGGAACUACUUAUUAUUUAUCUUUUUGCUAGGUCUGCCCCCAAUUAACUCUCGUUAUGCUGUCAUGGCCUCCUUGGCAUUAAUAUACUUGUCCGCCCAAGACAGCAACUCGACGUAGUCUCUUGAAAACUUCUUCUCUAGGGAGAAAAGAAAUCGAGAAGUUUUCAAUCUACUCCUAAUGGCGGACAUCAUGAUUGAAUAAUUCAGAUCGAGUACCUCCAGCAUGGUUGCAUUGAAGCGGCUGACGUAAUCUCGUAGGGGCACGUCCUCCAGUUGCUUGAUGGAAAAGAGGGUGUUGCUUGAUGGAAAAGAGGGUGUCCGAACUCCUCAACCUUUUGCUACGCAUGAAAUGGGUAGCGAACAUCCUGCCGAGUUGCUCGAAUGAGUGGAUCGAACCAGACUGCAGCCUGAUGUAUCACAAUCGAACCAUCUUCUGCAAGAUAGUUGGGAAGGCUUUGUACAGCAUCACGUCGAUGGCACCCUGGAGCAUCAUGAGAGCUUUAAAUCUCGCUAAGUGGUCCAGAGGGUCUAAGGUACUAUCAUAGGUCUCCAGUAAUGGAGGGGGGAGGGAUAGCCUCCCUCAUUAUCUUUGUCGAAAAUGGGGGCUCAGUGGUGAACUCCAUGUCUCGGCCUUGGCUGGCUUGAUGAUGUCCCGGGUCUUCGAGGCGCUGGGCAUCUUCUCAAGCUUGUGGUCGAGGUUGGCUUCCCUCUUGAAAGCCCUAUCAGGUCAGUGAGAGGAAGAAUGGCUAGACAUCAGCUCUUCCCAAGAAGGAGAGUCUCGGCUGAUCAAGAUUAGCUUUCCUGCAUCUAACUCCGCGGCUGAAUGUUGUGGCCACGUGGAGCCUUGUCGGAGCCAUGAUGGCAAGAAGGCUGCUUGGGAAGCUUCUGCCUCCCCACUCUGAGGUGGGGAGCGACAAUUUGAGUGCCCCGAGUCCUCAUGAUGACCAUGCUCAUAGGCCUCUUGCUGUGGCGGCUGCUAGAAGUGGCUAGUUGUUGCAUGUAUUGGAUCAUAGUAGUCGGCACCUGGACUUGAAGAAGUGCUUGAAAUUGUUUAGAGGUCACCACAAGGACUAUCUCCCCCAUCCCGUAUAGCCAUCACCGUCAUUGUUGAAACUGGAACCACCACCCGUAAUCACUCGAAAUCGAACAAAAUCCAAAGCUUUCGACCCAGAUCUAAAUCCAAGACAACCAAUGUCCAAGAAAGCACCACCACAGGUAGAACUAUGUAAGGAUUAGAGGGAAUAGCACAGCAAUCGAACACUCGAAAGGCUUCUUCAACCUAAAAUUGAAGAGAUCGAAGUCUGAUUAGGGAGGCGAGAGAUGGGUUUGGGGGGAAGAGGGAGGAUUUCUAGGAGGAGGGGACAUUUAUGAAGGAUUACCAUUAUUUUCACAAUGCUACCAUUGAGAACAAGACCAUCUUCCUGAAAUCCUUCAAAUCCUCUAAUUCUCUAUCAUCUGUGACAAGACAAAGAAGAUGAGUGUGUUAGCAAGGAAGAAGAAGAAGAGAUUACAGAAGAAAAUAGAUUGGGGAAAGGGAAGAUGAGAAGGGGAUGAAGAGGAAAAAAGUUGGGAGAAAGAAGGGGCGCUCGACAGUCGCUACUCAGUCGAUGAGGCGAGAAAGGAGGUGAAGAACACUUUCCAUAAAGUCGAUGGAGAACUGUAAGGGCUGAAAAGGAUGUAAUUUCUCAGAACUCUCCAGAACAACGCUUUCACAAAACUAUCUAGAAUAGUACUUUUUGGUAUUCAAGACAAUGAAAAAGGAUGCAGGUUAAAUGGGUUACCCAACCUGACCAGUUAUUAAACAGGUUAAAUGGGUUAAACAGAUCAAAUGUCUGAAAUCCGAACUCGACCCACUUGUUAAACAAUUUAAACGGGUCGACUUGUUUAUGACCCAAAUCUAUUUAGUCCGAAUUUAAACCUAUUUAUUGCAAAUCGAAUGUGAAUUGGAUUGAUGGGUUGGGUCAAUUUUUGCCAUCCCUAAUGAUACAUAUCAAUACCUCCUUCCUUAUCCUAGGGCUCUCUCUAACCCUCGCACACUAGCUAUUUCUCGCCUUAAUUUUUUGUUUAUCCAGUCUAAUUUAUGUAUAUUUUAUCCUCAAAAAAAUUAUCUAUAUCUUUUGUUUUUCUUCAUUCCAUAAGUUUGAAUUUGUAGUCUAUCGUUAAAUUACAUUGUAUUUCUUACAUCAUUAUAUUUUUUAUUUUAGUAUAUUAUGUAUUGUUUUAUUGCAUAUGUUCAUAUUUUUUGAGCUUUAAGUUUAUUUUACAUAUUUUACAUUUUUAUUAUUUAUUAUUUUCAAAAUAUCUAUUUUCAUUUAUUUUCUCUGUGUUAUUUGGUUCAUUUUUAUAAGAUUUAUCUUUUUCCUUAUUUUUUUACUCUCAUUUAUGUAUUUACUAUUUAUUUCCAAUUUUAUCAUCUAACUUAUAGAUAUAGCAAUUGGAUAAUUUAAUAUUUUUAUCUAUUUUCUGCUACUUCUAUUUAACUUAUGCUUUUAUUUUUAUUUAUUUAUAAAAUUUAUAAAUUUUUAACCUAUGUCAUUGGUUUGUUUUUUUUCUAUUUUAUUAUCUUGUUUUGUAUUUUCAUCCUUUUAUUUUUGCAUAUAUAUUAUUUUUAUUCCAUGGAUUAUUUUAUGUUUUUAGUUUUAUAGUAUAAUAUUGUACUUUUAUUAACUUACUUAUUUAUGCUUCUUUUAAUUUUUAAUUUAUACUUUUAUUUUAGAUUCUUUACAUUUUGUUUUUAAUUUCCUAAUUAUUUCACUAUCUUUUAAAUGACCUUUUUUUACUCUUCAACUAUAUUUUCUCUUAUUUGAUUUCAUUUAUUUUUAGUAUUAUGCCUUCGUAUUUUUUUCAAUUCAUUUUUUUCUUAUUAUUUGACCUUUAUUUGAAUAAAAAAAGUUAAAAUAUUGUAUUCAAUUUUUAUUUUACUUUGUUUGUGAUCAUUUUUGCCAAACAUUAGAAUUUAUCAAUUUUAGUAUUCAUGAGUAACAUAUCAAGUGCAUAAUAUUUAAUAUAUUUUAUUUUAUUUUAGAUUAGCUUAUUUCCUAAUAUUGUACAUGUUAGGAUUAUUUCUGAAUAUCUAUUGCAUAAUUGUAUUUUAAUAUUUUGUUCUAUAGUUUCUUUUGAAAAUUCGUAUUCUGAGGUUGAUAGAUCAUAUUCCUUUUGAAUAUUAUUAUAUAACUCUAUGUUUUUUAUAGUUUUAUUUUUAAUUUUCCCUUUGCUAUUUUAUUUUUUAUUUUUAGAGUGUUUUAUUUUUUACUUUUGUGAACUAUGUUGCUUAUUUUAUUUUAUUUUACAUUUUAUAUGUUAAGUUUUUUACUUUAUUCUAGUUUAUUUGUUAUGUUUUCCAUUUUUAUUUCAUAUUUUUUAUUUAUCUUUUUUUACUAUUUAUAUAUUUUUAGCUAAAAAUAUAAUAAAUUCUGAAAAUCCUUGUCCAGUAUUCUCCUAGCUUUAAAAUCUCCUGGUCCUAUCCUCCCAAGUCCCAACUAGAGGGAGAAGAGAGAGACGAGAGUGGAGUAGAAAGGAAGCCAUUCCCCUUCCCACUCACUCCUUCUCUCUCUCUCCCUCCCUCUUCCUUUUCAACAACCCGCACCCCCAAACUUCUUCGUCUCUUCCCCAUCCAUCUAAGAGAGGAGGGAAGAAGCAUAUGCUUUAGAAGCUCCUUAAUCCUCUCAUCGUCAGAUCUCUUCCCUCUAUAAAGCUCCAGAUUGAUUCCUUCUCAGUUCCAGCCGCCAUGCCCGACUCCUCCUUUCUCAAGCUCUCCCUCUUCGUCUCCGGCGACCCCGCCGACCCUCCGGCUGCCCGCUCCCCCCGGAGCUUCGCCGACGGGGCCGUCGGCCUCGGCAUCGUCGCCGCCCUCAGCGGCGGUGGCGACGUUGGAGGCCGCGGGAGGUCCGCGGCGCUGAGACGGUCGGAACCGAUCCCGAUCGCCCCGACGAGGGCCUUUGCGGCUGCCCGAUCGCCGGAGCCGGACGAGACGGAGCUCUCCGAGAGCUAUACGUGUGUGAUCUCGCACGUCAGAGGCAACUCCGUCAGGAAGNNNNNNNNNNNNNNNNNNNNNNNNNNNNNNNNNNNNNNNNNNNNNNNNNNNNNNNNNNNNNNNNNNNNNNNNNNNNNNNNNNNNNNNNNNNNNNNNNNNNNNNNNNNNNNNNNNNNNNNNNNNNNNNNNNNNNNNNNNNNNNNNNNNNNNNNNNNNNNNNNNNNNNNNNNNNNNNNNNNNNNNNNNNNNNNNNNNNNNNNNNNNNNNNNNNNNNNNNNNNNNNNNNNNNNNNNNNNNNNNNNGGGGGGGGGGCGGUUCAUCGUACUGGAGGGGAUUUGUUGGAUCAAAAAUUUUUUGGUGGUACAAUUCUUGGAUCAUUUUUUUUGUGUGCGCGUAUUCUUGCAAGGAGUCCUGCAGGAAACAUCUGAUUGUCUAUUAGUUAUUAGGAGAAAGUAAAUUUUGAGCCCUCAAUCUUCAGUCAUCUACACAAAUAUUUCUUCUCCUUCUAUUAGUUUCAAUUGAUCCUUAAACUUUCAAUUUAAGUGGGUGCCAUCCUUUCUCUCGUCUGACGCCAUUAAUGGCGCUUAGGAAAUGAUUUAACUGCCCUUGUCUUUCGUUCUCUACGAAAUUUCUGUUACUCUCUUCGCCCUUGUACUGCCACUACCUCCGCUUAGAUGCUCCUCCGCCUUGCUUGGUGUCGACUGGCAGCAACUCCUCUUAAUCACCGCCCACCCCUGAACCCCACCCCCCACACACACACCCACACCCACAUAAGAUGGGAGAGAAGAAAUAAAGAACAUUGGAAGAGAGAAGAAGAAGAAGAGAAGGGAGAAAGAAGGGACGGUGAUGAUAAAAUCAGCUCUUACCCUUAUGCUCUGCGGCACCGGUGGUGGCAUCGCCUACAACCAUGACGAGCUAGGUGCCAUUUUCUGCAUGGAACUUGCUGCCAGCCUAACCUUGUGUCCACACAGGGGAUUUGUAUAUAUCACGAGGAUAAUAUAUAUAUUAGAUUUUUAUAUAUAGAAAAUCUUGGCCAUGGUUGAUAAAGCAGUGAGAUAGUCUAACAUAUGAGGUGAGAAAUGAACAAAAAUCAUAUGGGACAGGCAUCAUAGAAGAAAAUAUAAGGUGGUACUUUCUAUUUUGCUAUAUUUUUCUUAGUGCCCAUCUCAAAGAAGAAAUCUAAAAGUCAGAAACUCCUCUUACGAACGGGAUCAUCAUUCCUGUGAUUUAAAAAAAAAAGAAAGAAAGGAAGUUGUAUGUGGCAUCUUCUUUCUUCUUCAUUUCUAAAAUAUGCUUUUUAUCAUUACAUGCUACAUGGCCAGGUAAUACAUACCAAACAAAUUAGUCAUCUAGCUAGCCAAUAUACAUAUUUGGUAAAUCGAUACACAGUUUCUACAACAUAAUAUUCGCGAGUACAUAGUAUACAGUCAAGGAAUAAAUACUUAACAAAUAUGUAUAUGCAACCCAGUAUACACUGCCAAGCAAAUUAAUUUAUAGUUUAUAGAGCAUCAUGUUCACUAGCAUAUACAUGGCUAGGUGCUACACAAUCAUCGACUUUUUGAUAUAUACUGCAACCUUCUUUGUUAUGCACCUAGCAGUAAUUAAAUUCAUACCUUUAGAUAAAUCGAUAUAUAGUUUUCAAAAUAUAUUUUUUAUCAAUACAUACUACUUGGCUAAGUGAUAUACACCAAAGAAAUUAGUCAUAUAGUAAGCUAGUACACAACUCUAAGUAAAUUGAUACAUAAUUUUUAAAACAUGGUGUCACCAGUACUUGUACAUAGAAAACUUUUCUAACUUUGUUUAACAUAAGAAAUUAUAUUCAUUCUAUUCCUUAAAUUCUGUAAACUUUUAGGUGCAAAGAUCUUGGAAAAGAGAGGGAUUUAGAGAAGGAGAAAGGGACUCGUAAGAAGAAGGAAGAUCUCAUGGAUGAGAGAGACGGCUUGAUGAGAAAGAGAAUAGAUGAAGAGAUUUGACGAGGAAGAAAGAGGAUGCGGAUGGUCUCUCUUCAUGGACGUUCUCUUUUUUUUUAUGUUUUUUUUUAGUUAUGUGACUGAUAGACUCUGUUAGUAGGAGGAGUCCUAUCCCCAUUUGACUUUUGGAUUUUUUUCUUUAAGAUGGGUGCUAGAGGAAAUUUGGCAAAAUAGGAGUUCCGCCCCAUUUGAUAUUCUGUAGUACCCGCUUCAUAUGAUUUUUGUUCAUGAGAAAUGUCUUUGUUAUUGUUCUUUUUCCCUCUAGAGAAGCUUUCCCUUUUAAAAGUCAUUUUUCCUUUUUCCCAACUUUUUGUUUCAUAUACAUAACUCAGGCAAUUGCCCUUAGAAAAAUUGCCUGAAGCACCUUACACCCUUAUUAAAUUUGAUUCCUCUCCACUCGCUAAAUGAUUUGUCCAUGUGUUUUGCGUAUUCCAAUUAAUCAAUUAAACAUACAAUGGAUAAAAGGGGGCUCCAUGGCAAAAUUGUUUGGUACCUGAAAUCAUGUACUAGUCAGGAGGCCUCUAAUGGAUAUACAAAUCUCUUGUUUAGGUUUUUACUAUUUUCUCAGAUGGAAGAAAAACAGUCCAUAUCAUUUGUUUAAUCCAUGAGAUUUACUACAUCCAUAAACUGUGUUGCUCUCUUUAAGCAUAAACUUAAAGCAGGUCAACAAUCAACGGAAGCAUAACAUAUGAUAUCUAUUAAGAAAGCACAUCUUAUGAUAUUCCCAAAAAUAUCUGUGAUCCAGUCUUCUUUAGACAGUUUUCGGUCAUAGCAUUAAAUAUGAAUAUAUUGAAGCUUUAGCUUCACAGUUUGUACCUCAGUCUCUUUGAAUCGUGCAUGCACAUUCUUCUCUGAUAACUAUAAUCCUCUGAAUCAUCUUCUCUUUCUUUCUUUCUUUCUUUCUUUUUAAAUCCUCCAAAAUGUCAGGAUGGGAUUUUGAUAUUAUUCUAUCCCGUUGUUUUUUUAAUGGCCCUUAACAGUGUCUGUCUGCCAAAUUUAACAAGUGUAGUGUAAUUUAUGUUCUGAGAUAUUGGGUUUGUUUGAGAUUGUAAAUAUAAAAUGUGAAAAUCCUUAUAGAAACUUCCUCCUAUGAAGUUUUGGCCAUCCAUGUCUUUAGACUGGUAUGCAGAUGUUCCUCUGGAAACUGGUGUCAGUUGAAUUUCUAUCUCUCAUCAUACUUGUUGAUCCAAGCUUCCUUUAUGGAAAGUUGAUUGGAUAAACAAUUCAUCAACAAAUGGCUGAAAUCAAUUCUUAUGUCUUUGAAUUUCUCAUAUAUGUUUUGAUUCCAACAGCAUUUGAACAGAAUACUUAGAUGGCUGUAGGGAUAGCUGAAAAUGUUUGAUCAUUCAUUGCCCUUGGAUUACUAAAUUGUAUUGCACUGUCUUCGCUGAAAUUCCUUAUGUUUAGAAUGAUGUCAUUCUAACUUUCCAAGAUCCGAUAUUUAGUUAUAUACAGAGUUAAGGAGACCUGUUUCAUGCUGAAGUUUCUCCAAUUCUGUUUCCUUUGUCAUGCUUCAGUGCCCAUCCCUGAAUAACUUGCUACACAACAUUGUUAAUAGUUGAAUUGUUUCUCAUUUAUCUUUCCUCCACCCUAUUCUGAUUCUGUUUCCUGUUUCAUGCUUCAGUACCAGUCUUUGAAUAACUUGCUAUGCAAAAUGUUGAGAGUUGAAUUGUUUCUCACUUAUGUUUCUUAUGCCCUAUCCCCAAAUUUGUUUCCUUUGCUGGUAACUUUGUCUACGACCCUUAUGCUGUGUUCCAAAUCCGUUGCUUGUAUAUGUGUUACUCCUUAUAUUGACUUACAGCUUCAACAUUUGCUGAAUUUUGGUUAGCAUGUGCACAGUGACAAGAAGGAGGUAUGUGCUAGGUAUAUCUGUGUGACAAGUAGCAGUUUAGAAGUGAAAAUUGGAUGCCUGUAUUGUAGAUUACACAUUAAAUCUAUAAUUUUGCCAGCAGACAUAAAGGUACAUUCCAGUUGAAGGGCAUCUAGAAAGUUGUUCAUCACUUUAGUAAUUCAAGUACUCUAUGUAUCAUUUGGCCCAUAACUUGUGCCUGAAAUAACUUGCUUGUGUGAAAUUAAUUCUGUGCCUGCAUUAGAAUUCAUGGUUUUGUUGGGAAGAGACCUUUAAGGUUGCUAUCAUCAGGGCUGAUUAGUCUGCAAGACAACAUAGUUUCUUCUUGCUUGCCUUAAGAUUUUGUGCUACUUUGUUGUUCUAUCAGAAUUCUUUAUUCGGUGCAUUGGAGUCUACUAAUUGAAAUCUCUGUGGCUUUGUUUGUUAUGCAGAGGAGACAAAGCCUUCUGUAGUGCGGAGUGCAGGUGCCAGCAGAUGCUGUUUGAUGAGCACAAGAACUGUGGCUCUGAAGUACUGAAGUCGUAUGAAUGCUCUGUGUCUCCCUGUUCUGGCCCUUUGCUCUUUGCAACUGGUGUGGCCGCAGCUUAAUCAUACAAAACUAAAGACCCAUAAGGAACAGGUAGAAAUGAUAGGAAAUAUGAGAAAGGUUACCAGAGUGAAUAAGCCAUAUAUGUAUAGCUACAGAGAGAACUGGAAAAGAUCUGAGAUAAUAUGCUUGUUCGAUCACAUCUUUUUAGGCAAAGCCCUGACGAGAAGGAAUGAAACAAAUAUGUGAUGUAUAAAUUCCAUGUAGCAGAGAAAACAUCAGAGGCUUUGGAGCUUCUGUGUACUGCAUCCGUUGGCAAAUUAUUAUAGUUAUCAAUAUCAUAUGUUAUAUACUCAAGCAAUAUGCUGCAUGAUUUUAUUAUUGUAUAUAUAUUGCAUUCAGAAGAGUGGACUCUCUGUGGCAUAUCAUACUCUGCUCUCUUUUCUGGAGAAUCAUUGAUCUGAAUUGCCUGCAAAAUCCUAUCUCACAGCUCAGGAAGCUCAUACUCUAUGAUGUUUGAUCCAUCCAAGCAAAGUUUGAGAGGCGGGCUCAGGUGGUUGCAAGGAGAAUUAUUGUUCUUGAAAAUCUAGUUUUUUAUUUGUUUGUUUCAUUAGAAAAUUAAUGGAAGUUUAUAAUUAAUUUAUAUAAAAAACCUUUCUGCUUACAAGAAAAGUUCCAUUUUCAUUUGUCCUUUUUCAUGAUUUUUCUUGCAAUUAAGCAUACGCUUGCCUCUGUCUGCUAACUUUGGAUUUUCUAUAAUGCUCCUCCAGUGAAGUCCUACCAAUUCCAGUUGCUGGAUGCUGGUGUCUGGGAUCUCACAGGAAUCUACCAGUCGAUGAUGGUGCAAUGUCUGCCAUGGUUGCAUUUGGAUCAAAUCCAACAGACCUCAUUAAUCACAUCUUUGCCUUGGACUUGCAAGUGAAUGUGAUUCAAAAAUCGAAGACACAGUUGCAUCUAAUUCCUCCAUCAAAGCCAUCCCAGAAAACACUGGUUUGUACCCUUAACCUAAACCAUUAUCAAAAAUAAUUAUAUCCUGUGCCCUACCAGCUAGCCUGAGUUUCUGAGCCCUAAUUUCCUCCAGCUGAUCGGGAUGCUAUACGAGCCUUUCUAAUUGGUUUGUCGAUGUUCAGCCUCUUCAGCAUUCUUCUUUUUUCUUCAGGCCCAACUGACAUAUGACUGGCCAAAAUUUCUUUAGAUGUGAAUUAUGUAGUUGAAUUUAACUAAUAUAGACGUAAAAGAGUAGUAGUUAGGAGGGUUUUAUCAUUUUAACUGAAACUCAAUGCGUCUUGGCCUCUUGGAUUCUGGAUGUGUUUCUCCAAAUAAACACCAUCAUUCCAAAUGCUGCAGCUGCCUCACUCUUUGCUUGCUAUCCUUCCAAAUAAACACCAUCAUUCCAAACUAACACGAUAAAUUGCACCAUCAUUACUAAUAGUCUAUAUCCACCAUCCGAUCUACCUGUUCAUAAGAAGGACAUGUUCAUCCUUCUUCUUCUUUUUUUGAUGAAAAAAAAAGAAAGAAUGGGGUGAAGAGAAUCUCACCUGCGUAGCAACUCCACACUGGUCCCUUUUCCGCUAGAGCAUAUUCUAUUCAGGUCACAAAUUUCCACGUGCCCUCCCCAACCGUGGUUACCCAUGUAUGAGUACGUCACCCCAAUAUCACUCUGGUUGCCAGCGGCAGUAUCACGCACACCAGCAGCAUUUAAGCAUAGGGCAUCCGGUCUCCAAAUUUAAUCGACGUCUGCACGUUUCGAACCUGAAUCAUCCUGGUGGAAGUAAAGCCUCGUCCCCACUGGGCUACCAUCUUGGUAGUACAUGUUCAUCCUUCUCUACUCGCCCAUCCUGCCCCUUUCCCAAACCCUAAUUCAUUCGGACUCGAUCCCAUCGAAUUUGGUCCCUUAAAAAAAGAUUCCAAAGAGUCUUUCGUCCACUCCUCUCCAUGGCGUCCUCCGGCGGCGGUGCAGUGGUCCGUCGGAGCAGCAGGUGAAGGGGGCGGCAUGGCGUCGGCGCAGAAGCGGAAGAAGUGGACAGAAGAGGAUUUAGAGGAGGAGCGGUCGCUGAUCGACAAGUAUGCGGAGAUGGCGUCCAACGGCAGCCUCGCCCACAUGCGAACACGGGAGAAGAAGUUCCGGCCAAUCGCCGCCCAUGUCAACGCCGGCCACCACGCCGUCGACCCCGUCGCCUACCCCUUCCUCCGGUCCUGGAAGAACGCCUCCACCAAGGUCCAAAAUAGGCGACAUCUAUCUGUGCUUCCUAGUCAAGCAAAAGCUCAUCUCCGCCCUCCCUUCCCCAUCCGACGGCUCUCAAGGUCCCUCCUCCGCCAUCGACUAGGCCGACGGCGUCUCCUACCGGCCCAACUUCCUCCGCUACAAGCAAGUCUUCGGCGACGCCCCGCUCCCCACAAAAACCCCCAAACCUACCCCCCUGCCGCCGCCGCCGUCCCGUCCUUUCCGGCGGCCAUCGAUGACGGCGAUCUGGAGCUGGGGUUUGGGUUCGACUGCUGCGGCGGGGAGGAUGGGUUGAGGUCGAAGGUGACGGCCUGAUCUGGUUUUGGAGGUGGAGCGCGACGAUGGGGGUGCGAUGGCUGAGCCCGACGAUCGCGGAAACUGAAAAAAAAAAAGAAGAAAAGAAAUCUGAGGAUUUUUUUAAAAUUAUUACGCCAAAAUUUUAACUAUCUGAAGGUUUUUAGUUUUAUUGCUGAACUCUUAAAUUCCUUCAAUCCAAACUCUGAUAAUAAAUUCCACCUGCUGCUACGAUGAAAUUGCCGCACGCUGUCUUCUGCCAUAUAAGUUAGUCAUAUAUAUUAUGCGACAAUUCCAUUACAGCAAUCAGAUGAAAUUUAUAGUCAAAAUACAAAUUGAACGACGUUAGUAGUUUGAAAAUUUACUAAAUUAAAAUUAAAAAAAAAUCAAAAAUUUAAAUUUUUUAUCUAAUUAUUUUUUUAUUAUUUUAUUUGUCGGCUAGAGACGGAAAUAGGAUUUUUAUUCAUAGGAUCCAUGGAUCCUAUAGGAUUCGGGCCGUUCCUAAUCCUUCCCUAACAGACCCUAAUUGUGCGUGCGUGCAUGGCUAGCUGGCUCUCUAGCUAGCUAUAUUGUUUUGAUUGUUUGGAUUUUCUAAUUAACCAAAUAUUUGUUGCAAUGGUUAAUAUAUGAAACAUAGUGGCUAAUUUCUUCGGAUCCUUUUAUCAAUUCCUAAAAAAAUUGGAACUUGUUGUGUCCCACUGCUAAAUAUUUGUAGAUGGCGUUGCUCCAAUGAAGAUUAGCAUAUUUGUUUCGUUGAUUAAGAUUCUGAGAACUGUCAAUCUAGUGAAACAUGGAUCGAGCAGUCCGCUAUGCUUGCCAAAAAUAUCAAUUUUUUUACGGCCGAAGCGUGUCCUCCCUUAGACGUUGCCGUCCAUUAGCCGUUAUUAAAUUGAAUGGCUCUUCAAUGUUGAACCUUCGCGCAAAAGCGUCCAAGUUCGUUGACUCCCACAUUCCAGUCUGCUAAAACGGCCUGGAAGCAGCAAUUGGCGUGAAACAGAAGGCGCCAGAAAGAUUGACCCUCCCAGAAGGGCGUCCAGGUUCUUCCAUCGGAGAAAGAUGGGCGUCUAGGUUCAUUGUACCUCGAGUUCGAGAUAAUGAAGCGGGCCCCGCGAUUCACACCAUAGACCUGAGUUCAUGUCAUGCGAGCAUCCGUACGGGGCAUCCCGAGGCUGUCCCCGCUUCUCCCAUCAGCCUCUGAAACCCAAACAAAAUCCCCGAGGAAGAGAGAGAAGACGUCGAAAGAGGUCCUGGGGUUCUGAUCUCGAAUUGGAUGUUAGGGUUUUGAUUCGAAGAGGACGAUCCGACGCCGUUUCUGCUUCGUCAUUGGAUCUUUCUUCCUCUUCUCUGAGAUCGAGGAGAGAUUUGAGUACCUUUCUCUCAUUUUUCUGGUAUGUUUUUCCGAUUACAGCAAUGAAGCCUUUUUGUCUAUUGUUUAUAGGAAAAUCACUGCGUGCGAGAUUCCAAGAAGCAGAUUACAAAAAUUUACGAAGCUUUUAAAUUCUACUGUUUUUAGAAUAUUUUCCCCAUUAGAUCUAGAUGUUUAAUUUGUAAGUUUUCCGUUCUGCCAAAAUUUUUUCCUCCUACAUGCCAUGAGAUAGUUGAGCAGAUCGCUCGGCUGUAGAGGAGAUAGUAAUUAGCCUUAAAGAUGCCACCUUUGUAUAUAUAUGGUUUACUCUAGAGAAGUUUCUUUUCCUUCCCUAAUGUAUUUGAAUAUAUAAUGUAGGCUGUGACCAUGGUGCUGUGGGUAUUUGGGUAUGGAUCAUUGAUAUGGAAUCCUGGAUUUGACUUUGAUGAGAAAAUAGUUGGCUUCAUCAAGGACUACAGGCGUGUGUUCGAUCUUGGUAAGAUUUACUUGUUCGUCAAAAGGAUGGCCUAGUGACAUCUCUCAAAAUCUUAAAGCAACACAUAAAUUAAAAUCCUGCAUGAAGAAAAAAAAAAUAAUGUUAGCCUUUUUCUUUGCAGCAUGCAUAGAUCACAGAGGUACACCAGAGAAUCCAGCUAGAACUUGCACAUUGGAGGCCAAAAAAGGAGCAGUUUGUGUAAGCAGAACUUAUUCUUUGCCAGAUUGUCUAUCUGAUUACUUGGCUAGAAUCUGUUUUGUAAACCUCAGGUUCUUAAUCAUGGAUUUUUUGGACCGUGCCUUUUUUUUUUUGGUUUCCAAGUUCUGUGACUUUUGACAGGCAACUGGCUUUUUCUUAGUUUAAGAGGAGGGUACAGUACCCACCUCUGAUUUUAUAUAUGUUUUCUUAGUUUCCAUUCCCUGGUUUGUUACUUUGUUAUAUGAGGGCAUUGAUGAAGGGAAAAACCAAAAUUGUUACUUGAUUCCAUUUAUAAAAGAUCUGUUAGGUCUCCCUGUUUCUAUCUUGAUUUUAUUGUCAUGAGGGAUAUUUGCUAGAUUCUCCAGAUACAUUUAUAAUUAAAUGCUUGCAGAAAGUGCAUAUAUUUCUAUCUAUGUCUCCUGUUUUUAUCAUCAAAUGUCUCCAAUUUUUAUAUGACUAGAUAGGUUAGACACGAUGGCUCUGGGUGUUUUUUUUUAUUUAUUUCACUUUCCCUUAAAUACCCUUAUUGACCACCUGAAAAUUAUUCUUAUUUCAACUACUUCUAAUUUUAUUCUUCCAUGUCUGGUUUGAAUAUAUUUUUUUUACUCAUAUUCAUUUGAUUAGAAAGCUUUUAUAGCAUUUAGUAGUAGCUAUUCUUCAUUGAUAUGGGAGGAUGUGAAACUUCAGAGUACCAUCUUAAAAUCUGGCCUUGAAAUUAAAAAAAAAAUCCUGGAUUUAUUUUUAGUUUAUCCAGUUUAUACCAUACAGCAACUAUUUGAAAAUGUUAUUAGAGUGACCAAGUGUGAGAAUUGCUUAGGAAAUUAAGAUGGUCAACUAUCUAUAUGUACAUAUCGAAGGAUGAUAAAUCAAAGUAGAUAAGCAAUUAAUGCAUUCACAAGCACAUGAAAGGAUGAACUUACUUGGAUAUCGAUCCAUACCUUGCGCUUCCAGAUGAGGUAAACCCUCAUCUGAUGUUUGUCCUCGUCAAGCUCUAUACAACUUCAUUUAUAUUAUAUAUUCGUGUUUCACUAGAACAGACUUUGAUGUGCAGUUCGCAGUCAGUCUUUACAAUUUUUCCCUCUCACUCUUGACAUGGCUUGUUUCUCUUACAGUGGGGCACUGCAUAUUGUGUUAGAGGAGACAGAGAAAAGGAAAGGGCAGCAAUGAAGGUACAGUUCAAUGUGCUGUUUUCUUCAGUUGAUUGCUGUUUGAUUAUUUGAUAUGUUAUCGAGCAUUUUUCUUACGCUUCUCAGUAUUUGGAGAGAAGAGAAUGCGAAUAUGACCAGAAAACUUCUGUGGACUUUUACAAGGUAAGAUCAGAGAUUUGCUGUUGUUGAUGUCUCAAAGGCCCCUUGAGAGAACUAAUUUCUUGAUGAACCACUCUCACUCUUCUGUCUGUGGCGUGCAUCAUUCAGGAAGAAGAUCUUCUUAGGCCAGCUGUAACAGGAGUUUUGGUGUAAGAUGCUAAACUUUCCUGCUAAAUAAUAUACAUUGUGUUGACAAGCUACUUUGGACUGUAAUCUUCCGUCGUUGUGAGAUUAACAAGUUGUUACUUCUGCAGAUUCACAUCCACCCCAGAUAAAAAGGCCAGCAAGUACUAUUUGGGUCCAGCUCCCUUGGAGGAAACAGCAAGGUGAAUCAGAAGAUUAUAUUUAUUCGAACUCUUUUUCCCCCUGUUCUUUUGAAUGAUUAGCUUCAGUGGUUGUACUUUUUCUUAUCAAGCUCCUUUACUGUGUACUUCAGACAAAUUGCUACUGCCCAUGGUCCUUGCGGGAACAAUAGGGACUAUCUGUUUCUUCUGGAGAAGGCAUUGUUCAAUAUAGGUGAGGCUAUCUCUUAUUUUUUCAACUGAAAUUGAUCUAUGAUAAGAGUGGUAACGAGAGGCACUAAAGAAAAGAUAUUCUAUAUAUAUUUCAUGUGGGAUGAACAACCGUAUAUAUACAAAAAAGAAAACGAACCCCAAACAAUAUGCAUCAAGAAUAGAAAAUAUAUAUUGUAUAUAAUCAAAUGUCACAUAAUAUAGUAGAAUUAAAUCCUACACAAUAUGCAUCAAUAAUGAAAAAUACAUAUUGUACCGAACCAAACUCCACAUAAUAUGACAAGAAUCAAAUUCCACGCAAUAUACAUCAAGAAAGGAAAAUAAUUGGGUGCAAGGCGUGAUAUUCGUAAAAAUAUAAGAUCCCCAUUGAUCAUUUUUUGUAUCGACAUUGUCGAUUGUGUGGGUUGAGGUUAUCCCUCUGGUUAGCUUUUUGCUAAUUGCAGGCAAUCUACAGUGCUCUUUUCCUGGGUUUCUAAAUCCUCUUUCAUAAGAUGAUUUAGAGUUUGUUAUUUGAAUUCCUGAAGUAUUCAUAAGAAGAAAUGGAAGAAUAAUAAAUGAUGUUUGGAUGAGUUAAGAAAGGCAAUGGAUAAUUUUUAGAGCUAAUGCAGGUCAUCAAGAUGAUUGCGUGAUUGAGCUCGCGAACGAGGUGAGAAAGAUAAUUGGCAGUUUGAAAGGGACGGGGGUUGUAUCUUACGUGCGAAAGGACACACCUUCUUUCAUGCGAAUCCACCAUUGGAUGGGGCAAUGGCCGCUUAGAGAUCUAUGUGGGCGGAUGAAUGGAAAAGUUUGGAGUGCUUUGAGAUCUGUGCAAGAUGUGAUCCAAUGGUCGAUGUGGCGAAAAAAUAUUAAUCAUUCUUUCACGCAGAAGAUACGGCCCGAACCCAUUUGAAGGUGAGGAUAGCUGAGGUCUCUAUCUCCUAGAAGCCCCAUGAAGCUCUUCUGCAUCCUUUAUCCCUUUUCGAAACUACUGUCGCAGUGGAUUCUUGAUAAGAGGCCAGGAGACAAUUUCAGUCGUCGUCCAGCAGAUAUGGCAGCAUCCAUGUGUUUGUCUCGUACAUUUCCAAUUUUUCACUUGAUUGUACACCCUUACUCGGAGCCCCUUGGCAACGCUCUCUAUUUUUAACUUGGACUAUACAUCCUGAAUUCAAGUACUUUGAGAUCGGUGCAAGAUGUAAUCUUAUCGUUGUGUCAAAGCUGAGUCUCUUCUUGCAAUGGAUUCUUUCAUACUAAUUUUUCUCUCCCUCAGUAAAAUAACGUCUUCUCAAUUUCGAUUUUUGGCUUUUGUGCUCUCUCUCGCUUUCUUGUGGCUUUUGAAAUGCAUGCGCAAGGCUACAACACUCUCGUUAUGAGGUGUGCGAGGCAUCUUAGGAAGGGACAAUUUACUCCGCUUGAUGGAAUUGCGGUUCCGGCCAAACUCUCCACCUGAUGCACCGAGGGCAACAAAUAACAUACGUUGUCGAGUGCUUUCUCUAUCUUUCAACUUCUUCUGCAGUUUACAUUGAAGCAGCCGCAACAAAUUCAAGCAACGGGGCAUCCAAAUCAGCAUUUACAUAAGAAAAGACAGCAUCAGCAAUUCAUCAUAAAGGCAAUUGGUUAGAAAAUAUGAUAAGGGAGAAAUUUAUUCACAUUUGGGUAGAUGAAAGAUAAUGCAUACUUCUCGGUGGUUGUACCACAAUGCACGAACCUCUCUCUCUCNNNNNNNNNNNNNNNNNNNNNNNNNNNNNNNNNNNNNNNNNNNNNNNNNNNUCUCUCUCUCUCUCUCUCUCUAUAUAUAUAUAUAUAUAUAUAUAUAUAUAUAUAUAUAUACACACACACACAUUCGAUGAGCCUCCAUUCGACUCUCGGUUAUUGAAUUUUUAUACGUAUCCUAAACAGUUGCCAGUCGACCGUGUGGAAAGAGCACGAAUGGCCUCGGCAUCGUCAGCGGUGGUUGUUCGGACCUUGGGCUAUCGUGCUCCGGCGGAUUGGAUGGCACGAGAUCUUCGGCUACAGGACAGGCUGGGAUACGACCGUCGAGUCCUUUCAGAUGGUGGAGGGUCUCGUGGCCUUCAAAUUUUGGAGCAGCAUUGAUUGGGUAGUUGCGAUGACUGGCGGGCUAUGGCUGGUGGCCGGUCAACUGCUGGCAAUGGAGGAGUGGAGGCCCGAUUUCGUCCCCGGCAUCAACACGGUGAGUAGAACAGUAAUUUGGCUUUGUUUACCCUGUCUUCCCCUAAAAUUCUGGGAGGACUCUUUGCUCAAAAUUGCAACAGCGACGGUCCGGCUACUAGAGUUGGACGAUGUCUCCGACUAGCUCCUGUGAGUAAGGUAUGCAAGGGUGAAAAUUGAGAUCGACGCCCUCAACCCUCUCAAAC
rnacentral:lncRNA from 1 species